rnacentral:lncRNA from 1 species
GGGUAAAGGUUUCUUCCUCAAAGACUCAAGCAACGAGAAAUUAUCCACAAAAUACAAACGGACAUGAUUGUGAUUGAGACUCCCUUCAUCGCGGAAACAUUCCAGGCAGAUACUGUAAGCGGCGCUCCCGGUUUCAAAGCACUUCAUGCAAGCGAAAUACUCAUUGGUUAUGAAGAUUUUGCACUGGCCGCAAAUUGGCCUUCCACUUUUCAGUAUAUAGUAGAGAGUCAACACUUCGUUAAAAUCUAAACCUCCGCUUCUAUCGAUGUCUAGUUGAUUGAAGAAGUCACGAGUACGCAUGUUCUCAUCGUGUGCUUUCUGCGACAUGAAAUCUGAAAACUCCCUGUAACUCACCCUACGGUUUCCAUCUUUAUCCAUUGAUUGGAAAAAUUGGUUGAAUAAACUUCUUUCUUGAUCGGUUCCAGAAUUAUAAUACGCUAAAGCAACCUUUCUCAACGCCUCCAUUGCUGUUUCUUUUUUUGCUUAAUUUGCCAGAGUUUGUGAGGAGUGAAGACCUUUUUAUAAUUGAUCACGUCUUAGGCAAAAUGAUUAAAACCUCCUCACCCGCCGACCCCCUUCAUUUUCAGUAAAUUAACCGCUUCUCUUUCAUAUUUCAAAACCUAUAAAAGACCCCCGUUAUUAACAGUUUCUCUUAACUUCGGACUUAUGAUUAAUUUUUUAAUGGAUAAUUAAUUGCUUAAAUUAAUAAAAAGUAAUCAUACAUCGGAUUUUAAGGGUAAAUUAGUAAAAUACAAAAAAGUUGAAAGUUGUUUUUUCUAAUUAUAAGAAAUUUUUGAUGAAUUUUAAAACAAGAGGAAAAAAUGAUUAACUUUAACAAACAACAGAGGGGGUGUAAUCAUUUUCCAUUUAUAUUUCUCUAACUUUCAUGUAUGCCUGGUUUUUUUCGACAAGGGAAGAUUCUCAACUACUCAUUGAAGCAACCUAGUGUAUGUGCAUGUCUGCAUGAUUAAAAUAAAUCUUCUUGACCCCAGAAUACUGUGAUUAAAUUCUUUUAAUUAAUUUUUGAAAAUACGCUAUUAGUCAUGUAUUUGGUAGCAAGUCUGCAUAGAAGAAUAUGAUAAACAUAUUGAUGUUUCCUUAAUUAAUAGUAAUUAAUCGCGGAUUAAGAAGUGAUGAAUUAUAUAUAUGACGACGAUAUAUUUGUGAUAUACAUAGAAGAUGCCCUGAAAGAAUUCAACUUUCAUUUUUCAAUCAAUCAAUUAAAUUAGCAUUUGGCUCUGUACACGCCAAAGGAAAAUGAUAGUCAAAUUUUAAAGGGAAAUUUACAACCGUCCACCUGUUUGUUUUAUCUUUUUUCAAAAAUACAAAAAUAUAUAUUUUUUUUCAACGCGCCACCUGAAGUUUACUUUUUGUUGCACUCGUCCACUUCUGUUUAAUUUCCGUUAGUGAAUUUAACGGAAUGACCUUUUUACCCCUCAAAAUUACAAUUUAACCCAAAAUAAAUAGAAAUUAGAGAUAAAUUGGAUGGAUUUAAUUUUUUUCAAAGGUGGAUGCUAGAAAUUGGAGGAAAAUAGUGUUUGUUUGUUACUAAAUUUAGAAAAUUUGUAUUUAUUUUUUUGGAGAAAAACUAGUGUUUAUUGCUUGCUAAAUUUAGAAAAUUUGUAUUUAUUUUUUUUUCUUUCAAAAAAAUAAAUACAAAUUUUCUAAAUUUAACAAGCAACAAAUACUAUUUUCCUCCAAUUUCUAGCAUCCACCUUUGAAAAAAAUAAAAUUCAUCCAAUUUAUCUCUAAUUUCUAUUUGUUUUUGGUUAAAUUGUAAUUUUGAAGAGUAAAAAGGUCAUUUCAUUAACAUUCCGUUAAACUCACUAAUGAAAAUUAGACGGAAGUGGAUGAAUGCAACAAAAAAUAAACUUCAAGUGGCGCGUUGAAAAAAAAAAGUGUUUGUAUAUUUUUGAAAAAGGCAAAACAAACAGGUGGACGAGUGUAAAUUUUCCAAUUUUAAAAGUUUCAAGAAACAAAGAGGAGAAAUUGGAGAGUCUUCACUUUUGUUGGUUUUAACGGGUUUUGUAACAUUAUAACAAAGAUUUUUUGUUAUAGGCUACGGUGCAUAUUAUACUUAUAUUAUAUAAGUUGUUCUCGCGACAAGGUAUCAACGAUUGUUUAAAAGAUUUUAAAAAAUUUAAAAUUAUGGAAAUGUUAAAGGUAAAUGUUCUUGUAAAUUGUAAUACCUAUAGUUUGAUUUAAUUACAUAAUUAAUAUCUUUAUUUUUAAAAAAUAUUACUCAAAAUAUUUGUGUUUUUACUUUCAUACAUGUAUGUUUUAAUUUUUCCAGAGUAAACUAGUAGUUUUGUCUUAUAUAACUUUUAAAAAAAAUUCUAACAUAUAAUAGGUGAAAAAUUAUCCGACUAAAUUUUAAUGGAUCUCCAAAGACGUAAUCAAGCAGCUUUUAAAUAACUUUAUUUUGGUUGGCGACUCAAGUUGGAAUCUUAAGAAAAGUAAGGGGCUAAAAAUUCAAUUUGAGUUUUGUCCAAAAUGAAUUUUAAUGGAAACAAGUAUGUGACAUUGACAUUUGACAAGGACCAUUAGUCAGUCUUUAAAAAUAUAACGACUGACUCAAUGAUUAGUUCCGAUUAUAAGGGUGAAAAGAGAAUUUUUCAAUAUAUUAAAGAUGAACCUUAUGCGGUCCACGCGGGUUUGAACUAACAUACAAAGCAUUUCUUAGCGUUUCAAACUUGAACACUAAUUUUUUUUUUUUUUUUUUUACUAAAAAGUUCAAACGUUCAACAAAAGCUCAAACGUCAAAAGCUCAAACAUUUUUUAGCGUUUACCAUACGGAAGUUCAAACGUCAAGACCGAAAUUAAUAAAGCAUGUGGCAUGGAUGUGAGCCACCCAUAAACUAAUGUUUUAGAAUCCACAUUUUGCAGUUUUUGCCACAUUUUCCAAAUAAAAACAAUAUUUUAAAAGAAAAAAGGAAACUCUAUUGUUAAAGACUUAAAGUUCGUCUUUUAUUAACUACUCGGCUCAGCCCGAGUGGCCAGGGCUGCUGUCCUCCAACUUGGAGGGCAGCAGUUCGAACCCCCACAAAAGCAUUGUGGGGGUAUUUCCUUCCUCAAUUAAUUUGAGUGAAGGUAGUCUUCUCCCUUACCCAUAAGUGAGGAGUAGACAUCCCUCGAAUAUUUAUGAGGGUUAAAAUCUGGGCAGAGUUAUAAUCUCAUGUAUAUGAGUUGUAAUCUGAGCAAUAGUCUCAUAUGAUAAAAAAAAAAAAAGUUCAUCUUUUAUUAAUGAUUGCCGACAGAUGAUGCCUUGGAGCCUAAAGCUACAUACUCAACUGUUAUUGUUGGCACGCAAUAAUUCAUUGGCAAUAUUUGUAUUGAUUUAUUAUUAUAAUCUUCCCAAUCACCGGACCUUGGCACGUCGGCUACCUCUAUAUAUAUAUAUAUAUAUAUAUAUAUAUACAGCUGUAGUCCUGUGGACACAUUAAGGCUCCAAUUUCUAAUAAAAUCUAAACAUACUAAAAGAUACAUAGAUUUCAAAUAAUUAACAAACAUCCAGCAUAAAAGAUACGGAGUGUAUAGUGACGGUAGUCUAUACCUAUCUAUAUUAUUUCCAAUUUUAAAGUAAAUCUGAAUAGUGUUGCAUAUAUUGGCUUCAUUCAUUUUUGUCGUAUCAGUGAUACCCUACUGAGUACUUUUUUUUUUUUUUUGGGACAAGCUCUAGUGAGUACUUGGUUUAGGCGUUGAAGUUUCUUUUUGUUGGGUGAUCAGCGAGGAAGUUUCGCUAUUUUUAAUUUAUAAUUUUCUUGCUUGAGCACUUAAUCUCUCGGGUUUCCUACUUUACCACUUUCUCUCUCGGGGUCGGCGUUGGCUCAACUCCUGUCCGGUUCGUUUUGUCUUCCAAUGGCAUAUCGACACGCCCUAACUUUUUUUCAAGAAACGUGCAUCUAAAUUAUUAGUUUUAAAAAAAAAUUGAAUCAUGUCUUUUAACUAUUGAAUUUUCAAGUGGUAAAGUGCAACCUUUUUAGGAAUCAGUUUUGAAUUUGAUCUACUAAUAAAAUAAAAAAUUAUUUUAUUUGUUAACCUUAUGGGGCCACUAGAUUAGUGAGUUUCAAUAGGUGCACGAGUUAAUUAAGGGACAGUGACCACCCUUAAAACUAUAAAUAGAUGUGGAAGAGAUAAAAUCAAUGAUUUAACAUCCAUUCUCCUAUCACCAAUUGAUUUUUAAAGGUAUAUGACAACUUUUACUUUAAAACUCCGUAAUUAGACAUGUUGAAGCAUUUUGUGACUGGUGAGACCUUAUCAUUUUUUUUAUUGCAAUGUUCUACUGCUUCAUAGACGAUCAUUCAAUGAAAAUUAAACAUGUAAGCAUAUUAUGAGUUUAAUAUACAUGUUUAUGUGACAUUGUGAAAAUUGGUUGAUGAAACUAACAAAUGAUCUAAGACAGAUUACGCUUUGCUAUUUUAAGUGAGUCUAUACUUCAUAUACACUUUGCCAUUGAAUCAUGCAACAAUAAUUCACUUAAAAUGCAAUUUGUAAUUUGAAUGUAUUGUGUAAAAUGGGGCAUAAUAUCAUCCUAAAAUAAAUAUUUAUACACACACACACACAAAAGAAUCCCCAUGAAAGAAGUCAGGAACUGCGACAUAGAAUCCAUUCCUGUAGGGGUCUCCCGCCAUCUACAUUUGGAUCCCCAUGAAAGAAGUCAGGAACUGCGACAUAGAAUCCAGCUGCUGCAACCUUGUCUGCAAGCUUCCUUUGUUGUAGAAAGCAUCUGAUAUUAGCUCCCAGUCGAACACAGGGUAGCAAUAUGAUCGAGCAACCUGGCAGAUAAAUGAACACAUGCUUGUACAAUGUUUAUAAAUAGAUACCAAAUCACCGUACCAUUGACCCAGAGUUGUUUUCAUGGGUGUACAUAAUUUUAAAUUUUCAAUUAGAUACCCCCUGAAUAUGUUUACCAGUGAUUGAGGCAGGUUCCAAAAUGUACAAAUUUUUCUUAACCCGAAGAAGAGCAUGAAUAAUAAUAGCAAAGACAAAGACACGUAGAAUCAUAAAUUAAGAUAAGCUCACAAAACAAAUCAAUUAGCUGUGGAUGCAAGAGAAAGAAAUUAGAGCAAGUCAUACCUCAAGUUUGGAGCUUCAUAACCUGCAAGAUAAGGCGAAGACAAGUAAGAAUUAGAAGGCGAAGACAAGAAAGAAUUAGAAGCUUAUAGAGGCAGAAGAAUAAAGGUGAACAAAAUAGGUAGAGUCAAUACGAAAUGAAAUGGAGGACAAAGAGAACCGACAAACACCCUGAUUAACCAAUCAAAAGAUGCAUAAACACAAGCAACCCUGAUGAUAAAUUGAAGUGAGAGAAACAAAAUUAACUAGUGAAAACAAGAAAUGGAAAAAACAGUGAAACAUACACAGAAAACUAAAGCAAAAGACUAAAACAAAAGCAGCCCAGAUGUAAUUUGCCCAAAUAAACACAACCCGGAUCAUAAUUUGCAGUGAAAAUAUAAGAAGUGAAUGGACAUGAUACUGAGAUGGGUCAGGUACCGAAAACGUCGGAAAUGAGAAGAGCAGCAAGCUUGGAGUCAGGAGAGCCAGUGACGUAAGUGUUGAGUCCACCAAGUUUCUCAACAUGACCUGCUCCACUGUUUGGAUUCAGUGUUGGUGGAUUUGCACAGCACUGAGGACCUGACAUUUUUCUCCUGCUUAUGCUUAACCUUCCUUACACUAGUGUUCAGAAAACGCUCUCUUCUUCUAUCACAAACGUUUAUGAUUUUAUCCAACGGAGAGACUUACGUCUUGUAUAUCUAUUUAUAUAGAGUUUCAGCAUGUUCACUGCCGGGACUCUAUUUCCCUCCCAAUUGUUUAUACUUUCAAAAAGAAACAUGUGGGUUAUGGUUCGUGAGAGUUAUAAAUUAUUAUGCCGGAAGCCUGCGUCACGCCGUUGCAUUUUUCUAUUUAGCUUCCGACAUUUUUUAGUUAGAGUUAUGUAGCUUCCGACAUUUUUUUAUUUGAAGAGUAACAAUUUCUUAUUUUUCUUGGGCCACACGCCACUCCGUUUUAUGUAUAGGUUCGUUGAUUCGGAAGAACAAUGUUUGCUUGGUCCAUGCCACGAAUCUUUUGCAUCAAGUAAUGGAAUACUAACUAUCGAGCUGCCGGGUCAUUGGCAUGUCAUUGGUACUUCAUAUAUAAAAGUUCGGAAUAAUGUUUGGUCCAUGCCACUAUUCUCUGCAAAAAUUUUAAAUAAUAGAACGAUCAACAUUAUAACAUUUUUUAACUUUGACAGAAACCUGUUAAUUUCUUAAUUUGACCAAUUGGUUUUGCAAAUAAUUUUAUUUGACUAGCGUUCCAGAUCCUUAUACCCACUAAUUCUUGAGCCGUUAAUAAAUUAUGGAAUUUUAAAAGUUUAAAUAUUUAUUUAGUAUGACUUAUAUAACAGCCAUUAGUAUUUAUUUACUCUUAAUUUUUUUUCAAAAAGAUUUAUGAGUAUUUAUUUCUAUUUUCAGAAUAAAUAUUAUUAUGUUAAGAACUAAAUAAAUUAUUUUACAUCUACUAAUAAAAGUUUAAAGAGAUUUAAAAAUAAAAAUAAACAACUUAUAGCCUGUUUAAAAAGUACAGUUGUCUAAAAUAUCCAUUAUUUAUUUACACUUUUAUUUCAUUGUUUUCAUAUUAUAAUAUUUAAAAUUAUCUAUUAAUAUAAUUUUAUAAAUUUUAAUUAAUGAGUAAACAACUAUUUUUUUUUUUAACUGAAAACCUAAUAAAAAUCCUAAAUGAAUAAACUUUAUUUGAGAAGCUAUAUGCCUAAAUUCAUCAAAAUUAUUCACACUUAAAGCAAAAUUGAUUAGAGUUAAGCAGCACUACACUUUUAUUUCAUCUAAUAAAAAACUCUCUUAACUAGCGAAUCGAAUCGAAUUCACCCAUUUAUUUAACGAAUCAAUUUUUUCAAACCUAAACCCAUUUAAUUCUCAUCGAAUUGAAUCGAAUAAACGAUUCCUGACCCAUAUUGCCACCCCUACUUUUAACUAACAAAGGAAAAUUUUUUAAUACUAUCAUGGAUCGUUUGUAGAAAUACGUGGGUCUCUAUAACAAUAGACUGUAGUUUAAUAGUACAAGUAUGUACUAAAGAAAUUGUACAUAAAUACAUGCACAAUAAACUACAAGUAUGCACUGAUAAAGAUCACUAAGAUCCUAAAUAUCUUUCUCAAUCAACCCCAUUAUAAAUCAAAACCAAGGUAAUAUCAUGCAUAUAAAUAUGGCAACUAUUAUUGCCAUUGUGACAUGUACAGAUGCCAAGUAUCACGGCCAAUAUGGUAUCAAAAUAUAGAAGAAAUCCUCAAUUUAUAGUGAAUGAUUAUUUUCCUUUUAUGCAAUCUAUGUGCAUUCUCUUAUAAAUUGGGCAUUUGAGCUUUGAAUAAGAAUGAAAUUUCUAUUUUGUAUAUUGUUUCUAAAAAGUUUUCAUGCACAAAGUAAGGUCGUCGAUUGCUUCGUCAACUCAGGUGUACUUAUUUCGACUAUAAUAUAUAUUUGGUUCUGAUGGGAACUUGGGUUGUUGGUCCAUGCUAAUAUAUAUAUAUAGGGUAAUGCUAAGUUACAUGCAUGUACCUUACAUCCCUCUCACAUGAAUAGUGUAUGGAUACUAUUCAUGUGAGAGGGAUGUAAGGUACAUGCAUGUAACUUAGAGGGAUCCAUAUAUAUAUAUAUAUAUAUAUAUAUAUAUUUUGGGUCUGACCGAGGAGUUUCCAAGUAUUUCAACAACAAUGCGGCACGCACGCCAAUCACACAAACAAGUCCUUCUCUAGUACGGGGCCUCACUUUUUUCAUGCGGUUACGCUUUUAAACCACGAAGUUUAAUAGAGUGAAAGUGUAACGCUAUUAAACUGCACAACCUUAAAGCACAUUCAAAAGUAACUUUAUUAAAUUGCAAGACUUAACAGCAUGUCUGCAUGUGGGGAUAGUAGAAUAACCCAUAUUUGGAUGAACCUGGAAAAUCCAGGUCAGGUUCAACCCAUACCGUAGCAAAAUAUAUUUGGUAUUUGGAUGUCAUUUUAUGAACCCAUUCGAAUCCAAGACCGGGUCCAAUUUUAGGUAAAUCCGGAUAUCAAGAACCCAGACCCAGAUUAUUUUAUUUUAAUAUUUAAUUAAUUAUUUUUAAAUAUUAAUUAAUUAAUUAUUGUUAAUUAUUAUUUAUGAGUAUAAAAGCAAAAAUGAGAAAAACAAAACAAACCCUACAUCUCACAGCCGCCGUUUCUAGUCCUAUUCAUUGCCUAAAUUUCAACAAAUGAAUUCAACAUCAUCGUCGUCGCCCAAUUGAUCAUCACCCAUCAAUCAUUAGCAACACAACAUCACCGCCGUGGCCACACUUCUGUGCAAGUUUCAAGAAUGGACUUGAUACCAAGACAGAGAAGUCAAGGAAGCAAUUGAAGGAAACGGAGAACAUGGCUAAGAAGAUCAGUGGUGUAAAGAAGACCAAGGCCUUAGAUGCUGCCAAGAAGAAGUGAGCAAUUCAUUCUUUUGUGGUGUCGAAUCCAACUUUCGGUGAUGGAGUUCUAUGAUAGUCUUUGUUGGUAUAGUUUCUGAAAUGAAAUAUAUUGUGUUGUGGAUUUUGGUGUUAUUUGAUGUUUACGUAGUUAUAUUUCCAGAUUUUGAGUACUAAAAAAGAGAAAAAAUCGUUUAUAUUGAGAUUUUGGUUUUCGGAAUCAUUGGGUUUUAUUUCCAGUUUAUGCGAUUCCCCAUCUUCCUCAUCUAUUUCAAGAGAUCCGUGACUUUAUUCUAUCUCCUUCUGCAAUUGCCAAACAGCACAAAAGCCGAAUGCUUGAUUUGUUUUUUAAUUUUGGGCAUUUAGUACAUCUAUCCGCGUUUGGAACCCGGAAUCCAGAAAUUCGAAUUUUUUCGGGUUGAGCCCGUACCGGAUCAGGAGCCUAAAAAUGGGGUUUAUAUCCAGAUUCGGUAUGCUAAAUUAUCAUUUGAGUCCGGAACCGAAAAGCCUAAACUCGGAUUCGAAUUUUUCCAUCCCUAUCUGCAUGAAAAAAAGAGAAGGUGCCCGCACUUGAGAAUGAUAAUAUAUACACAGAUAUAUAUGUAUACAUACCUGUAUAUAGUCCUUUAUUAAUGUGAGCGCCCUCAUUUUUUUUCAUCUAUCACGUUAUUAAUCAUGCAAUUUAAUACAAUUAUUUUGAUUAACUAUUGAACUACAUGGCGUUUUAUAGUAUGUCCACCAAAUAGGGUGUCUGCAUCUUAUAUCAUUAAUAAUCAAAGAAAAAAAUUUAAUAUGGAAUCAUAUGAAGUGAUUAUUAAGACUGACUGUGAGAUUCAUUCUUCUAAAUUAUUGCUUGAUGCGUCACAUUAAGGGAUCUGUCCAUGACUAUGUAGAUGAGUCUGAAAACUUUGAUGAGACCGAAAAGUUUUAGCAUUGAAAUUAACUAUUGAAGCAAAUUGUCUUUUAUAAAUAUACAAAUCAGUUUAAUCUUAAAUUUUAUUGAAAUAUGAAAGUGAAUUCAUGCAGCCCUUGAUACCCAAAACGGAGUACCAAAAAUAAAAAUAGAGACAAAAGUUAAACUAAAAAACAGCCGCACGUACGUGAAGUCAUGGGUUCGUGGUCAUGGGUUCGAACCCCCACAUUGCAUUGUGGAGGUUUAAUUUUCUUCCUCAAUUUGAGUGAAGACAAUCUUUUUCCUUUCGAAAUGUGACUGGAGUAGACUUCCCUUGAAUAUUAGAGAGGAUAAAAAUCUGGGCGAACUUUAUAAAAAUUGAUGUAAACUAGUCCCAGUAAUAAUCUGAUUUGUAAAUAUCAAUUGUAAUUCAUAUAAUAUGAGUUGUACUUUUGAGCAAUAGUCUUGUGUAAUAAAAAAAACAUACCCGCACGCUAAAGCCAAAUUAACUUGAAAACAUACAUCAAGAAAUCUAAACAUUGCACACAGCUGAUAUAUUCUUCAUCUUCAGGAUAGCUAGGAUGUACGACUGCAGCCUCCUUCUGUGAAUAUAUUUGAAGUGUGCAAGCCUCUCAUAAUUAAACAAGCGGCAAUAAUGUUUGCAAUGGGAAGUGCAGCUUCGAAAACUCUAAGUGCGGCUUGCCAUGGAAACUAGAAAUCAAUAAAUAAUUUUAACAUGAAGAAAUUCACUAUCGGACUUUAGAUAGAUCAACAAGAAAUUCACUCCCACAAUAUAUAAAAAUCAACACGGCUCCUCAGUACUAUAUCCAAAUUUAUAAAAAUGCUAUGCACCAAAUUAAAUAAUCGAGUGAUUAUUCAAAAUUAAUUAAUCAAAGUUUGGUCAAACUCACCCUUCCUACCGCUGGGGUGUUUGAAUUAUAAGGAAUAACUGUAAGAUUUGAAGGACUUUCUGAAUGAUCGGGCCGACUCGUGGGGGUCCUGAUGCUUCUGAAUAUUAAAGGCCUUUCUGAAUGUUCGGGCUGACUCGUGGCAGUUCCUUGGGUCCUGAUGCUUCUGAAUAUUGAAGGACUUCCUGAAUGAUCGGGCUGACUCGUGGCAAUUCCUUGGGUCCUGAUGCUUCUGAAUAUUGAAGGACUUCCUGAAUGAUCGGGCUGACUCGUGGCAAUUCCUUGGGUGCUGAUGCUUCUGAAUAUUGACUGCAAUCAAUUGCAAAGACAAUACAAGUUAUAUAAAUAGGCAAUUGAUUUCAAAAAUUAAAAUCUUUAAUUAACCAAAGUUUGGUCAAACUCACCAUUCCCUCCGCAGGGAUAUUUGCAUUGUUACGAGCAAUUGCAACAUGUGAAGAACUUUCUGAACGACUGCGCUGAUUCAUGCUGAUGCUUCUGAACAUUGACAGCAAUCAAUUGCAGAGUCAAAACAAGUUUUAUAAAAUAGGCAAUUAAUUUCAAAAAUUAAAAUCUUCAAUUAGUAUAUAGGUGAAUGCUUUUUUAGUGCGUUAUAUUUUGAAUUAAGUGUCAACUCCCUUGUCUUGGGCUUAGAGGGCUUUGUUUUGCCUUCGGCUUCAACUACGUUUGCUUCGAAUAGAUGGCACCCAUUAUACGAGAUUAAAAAAAGACAUUCGAUUCUAUAUUUUAAAAAACACCAAAAGAUACUAAUACUAUUAAAUAUAUAAUAUUUUUCUCAUAUUUUUUUUUAUUUUUCUAAUAAUACUCUUGCAACAAUAUAAAAAUAUUAAUUAAGUUAUCUAUAAAAAAAAAGUUAUUUAGCAAAUUACCAAUAAUUAUUUGUCUAAAGAAAUUGAUAUUUUUCAUACACUUGCAAUAAUCUUUCUAAUAAAUAUUUAUAAAUAGAUAAAUUACAAACUUAAAGCUACAUCUAAUAUCUUGUUAUCUUGUUAAUAAUUGUAAAAAAAUUAUGUUACCUAAUUAAUCCUAAAAGAAAAAUAAUAAUAACAAAAUUAUUUUACUUGUAAUGUUAAUCUUUAUUUUAUUUUUAAUGUUAAUUUACUAAAUUAACAUUUUUUUUCUUUUCAUUAGCAUCACCAAGAAUAUUGUUGCAUGGAUGUUAUCAUAAAAACAAGGAAAAAAUAAGGGUACAAUAGUAAGGGUAUUUUAAGAUUUUUUUUAAAAUAUAGAAACAAAACAAAUAUUUACUCAUAAUAAUAUAAUAAUAAUAAAUACCUGAUGAUUGGGUAAAGGUUUCUUCCGCAAAGACUCAAGCAACGAAAAAUUAUCAACAAAAUGCGAACGGCCAUGAUUGUGAUCGUGACGCCCUUUAUCGCAGAAACAUUCCAGGCAGAUACUGUAGGCAGCUGUCUGGGGUUCAAAGCAGCUCAUGCAAGUGAAAUACUCAUUGGUUAUGAAGAUUUUGCACUGGCCGCAAAUUGGCCUUCCACUUUUCAGUAUAUAGUAGAGAGUCAACACUUCCUUAAAAUCUAAACCUCCACUUCUAUCGAUGUCUAGUUGAUUGAAGAAGUCACGAGUACGCAUGUUAUCAUCAUGUGCUUCCAGCGACAUGAAAUUUGAAAACUCCCUGUAACUCACCCUACGGUUUCCAUCUUGAUCCAUUGAUAGGAAAAAUAGGUUGAAUAAACGUCUUUCUUCAUCGGUUCCAGAAUUAUAAUACGCUAAAGCAACCUUGCUCAACGCCUCCAUUGCUGUUUCUUUUUUUUGCUUAAUUUGCCAGAGUUUGUGAGGAGUGAAGACCUUUUUAUAAUUGAUUACGUCUUAGGAAAAAUGAUUAAAACCUCCUCACCCGCCCCCCCGCCCCCUUCAUGUUUCAGUAAAUUAACCUCUUCUCUUUCAUAUUUAAAAACUUAUAAAAAAAAAAACCUCAGUUAUUAACAGUUUCUCUUAACUUCAGACUUAUGAUUAAUUUUUUAAUGGAUAAUUAAUUGCGGAAAUUAAUAAAAAGUAAUAAUACGUCGGAUUUUAAGGGUAAAUUAGUGAAAUACAAAAAGUUGAAAGUUAUUUUUUUCUAAUUAUAGGAAAAUUUUGAUGAAUUUUAAAACAAGAGGAAAAAAUGAUUAACUUUAACAAACAACAGGGGAGUGUAAUAAUUUUCCAUUUAUAUUUCCCUAACUUUCAUGUCUGCAUGAUUAAAAUAAAUCUUCUUGACCCCAGAAUACUGUAAUUAAAUUCUUUUAAUUAAUUUUUGAAAAUACGCUAAUAGUCAUGUAUUUGGUAGCGAGUCCGCAUAGAAGAUUAUGAUAAACAUAUUGCUGUUUCCUUAAUUAAUAGUAAUUAAUCGUGGAUUAAGAAGUGGUGAACUAUAUGAUGACGAUAUAUUUGUGACAUAAAUAGAAGAUGGCCCGAGAGAAUUCAACUUUCAUUUUUAAUCAAUCAAUUAAAUUAGCAUUUUUGGCAUUGUACACACCAAAGGGAAAUGAUAGUCAAAUUUUAAAGGUUUCAAGAAGCAAAGAGGAGAAACUGGAGAGUCUUCACAUUUGUUGGUGUUAACGGGUUUUGUAACAUUAUAACAAAGAUUUUUUGUUAUACGCUACGGUGCAUAUUAUACUUAUAGUAUAUAAGUUGUUAUCGCUACAAGGUAUCAAUGACUGUUUAAAAGAUUUUAAAAAAUGUAAAAUUAUGGAUAUGUUAAGUUAAAUGUUCUUGUAAUACCUGUAGUUUGAAUUAAUUACAUAGUUAAUAUCUUUAUUUUAAAAAAAUAUUACUCAAAAUAUUUGUGUUUUUACUUUCAUACAUGUAUGUUUUAAUUUAUCUAGGGUAAACUAAUAGUUUCUUCUUAUAUAAUUUAUAACUCUAAAAAAACAUUCUAAUAUAUAAUAAGUGAAAAAUUAUCCGACUAAAUUUUAAUGCGUCUCCAAAACCGUAAUCAAGCAUCUUUUAAAUAAUUUUAUUUUGGUUCGCGACUCAAGUUGGAAUCUUCAGAAAGGUAAGGGGUUAAAAAUUCAAUUUGAGUUUUGUUCAAAAUGAAUUUUAAUGGAAACAAGUGUAUGACAUUGGCAAGGACCGUUAGUCAGUCUUUAAAAAUAUAAAGACUGACUAAGUAAUUAAAGAUGAACAUUAUGGGGUCUACGCGGGUUUGAACUAACAUACAUGCAUUUUUUAGCGUUUCAAACUUGAACACUAAUUUUUUUUUUUACUAAAAGGUUCAAACGUUCAACAAAAGCUCAAACGUCAAGUGUAAACAUUUUUUGGCGUUUACCAUACAGAAGUUCAAACGUCAAGACCGAAAUUAAUAAAGUAUGCGGCAUGGAUGUGAGUCGCCCAAAAACUAAUGUUUUAGAAUCCACAUUUUCCAAAUAAAAACAAUAUUUUAAAAGAAAAAGGCAAACUCUAUUGUUAAAAGUUCGUCUUUUAUUAAUGAUUUGCCGACAGAUGAUGCCUUGGAGCCAAAAGCUAUAUACUCAACUGUUAUUGUUGGCACGCAAAAAUUCGUUGGCAAUAUUUGUAUUGAUUUAUUAUUAUAAUCUUCCCAUCACCGGCACUUGGCACGUCGGCUACCUAUAUAUAUAUACAUACAGCUGUAGUCCAGUGGACCCAUUAAGGCUCCAAUUUCUAAUAAAAUCUAAACAUACUAAUAUACAUAGAUUUCAAAUAAUUAACAAACAUCUAGCAUAAAAGAUACGGAGUGUGUAGUAACGGUAGUCUAUGCCUAACUAUAUUAUUUCCAAUUUUAAAGUAAAUCUGAAUAGUGUUGCAAAUAUUGGCUUCAUUAAUUUUUGUCGUAUCAGUGAUACUCUAGUGAGUACUUGGUUUAGGCAUUGAAGUUUCUUUUUGUUGGGUGACCAGCGAGGAAGUUUCGCUAUUUUAUUUUUUUUUAUUAAAAGGGGCUCAUCAAGACGAGCUAGGUAAGAAUAAGACGGUGUUGACAAACCCCAAAUAUAUUUUGUGAAAUAAUAGAAUAAAUACCCACAGGCGGGUUAGAGAAUAAAUGUAAAUCAUGCAGUACUAAGUGAGCCAUAUUGGCCAUGAAAUCUGCAGCUGAGUUCGCUUCACGGUAAAUAUGAGAGAUAGAAAUCUGCCAAUUCCUGCUUAAAAAAUCAUGAACUGCCACCACUAAAGCAUGGAAAACAUUAGGCACGACCACCUACUGAGAGAUCAUCUAAGUUACACAGAGACUAUCUACUUCCACCAAGAGGUGUCUGAUGUCAACAUUCCAGGCGAGGGGUAAUCCUUGAUACAGGCCCCAAAGUUCAGCCAUAAUCACUGAGCUUUCCCCAAUAUUCAUACUAAAACCUAAGAUCCAAUUGCCAAAAGAAUCACGAAUUACCCCACCCGCUCCAGCUUCUCCUGUAUUUUUACAGGAACCAUCUGUGUUCAACUAGUGGUUAUUGCUAUAGACAUGCAAAUAAUUAGUUAUAUGUGGAUGCAAAAAUAAUCUAUAUUGACAUUUUUAUAGUAUUUUUUGGAUUGUAAAUUCGAAUUGCCCACAAAUAAACUACUUCAGAAAGGAAAAAAAAGUUGUAGUUAGGUUCAUUUGCAUUUUAUUUUAUUAAAUUAUUAAUAAUAAUAAUAAUAAUACACCAAUUAAAAAAUAGUAUUAUUGAAUAAGUAAUAGUUGAAAAAUGUGUUUUAUAAAAUAUUAUAUCAAACAAAUUUUUACUGAUUUUCUUAUUUUUAGACAAAAAACCAAACACAUUUUUACUAUUUUUCAUUUUCAUAUACUAUUUGAAAAUAAAUUACCAAACGUAUUUUCAAUUUAAAAAAUAUGACAUCAAAAACAUUAUUUUCCUUCUCUAAAACAAACAUAAAAACACCAAUUAAAAAACAAUACCAAACGCACCCUAAAUUAUCAUUCCGGUCCGAAACUGGCAAGCCUAAAUUCAAAUCUGGAUUUUGCCAUUCUGCAUGAAAAAAAGGGCAAAUGAGUAUAUAUAUACACACACAUACAUACGUAUACAUACAUAUAUAUACAUAUAGUCCUUUACUAACGAGAGUGCCUUCAUUUUUUCCAUUAUUAAACCAUGUAAUUUAACAUAGUUAUUUUAAUUAACUAUUGAACUAUGUGGUUUAAUAGCAAAAUAGGGUGUCCACAUAUUAUAUCAUUAAUAAUCAAAGGAGAAAAUUUAAUAUGGAAUCAUAUGAAGUGAUUAUUAAGAUUGACAGUGACAUUCAUUCUUCUAAAUUAUUAUUUGACGCGUCACAUUAAGGGAUCUGUCCAUGACUAUGAAGAUGAGCCUGAAAACUUUGAUGAGACCGAAAAGUUUUAGCUUUGAAAUUUGUGGAGGAUGUUAGUGCUAACACAUAUAAGGGAUCGAAUGCCUUCGCACUCCAACUACACCUUAGUGUAUGCCGCCUCUUUAGCAACAGAAGUUGAAUGUCAACGUUGCGAAGAAUUUGAAAAGCGUUUGGAUAAGCUUACGAAGAAAUUCAUUGACAAUGCAACUACAAAAUUGCAUGAGAACAUGGCCAGAAAUGUCUCUAAAAAGGUAAUUGGACAUGUCAAUGACAACAUGAGAUUUCAAAUGUCGAUGACGAAGUAAUUAAAGACGUCUGAAAUUGAAAAGGAAGGGGUAAAAUCUAAUCUUGAUUUGAGCAUUGAUUUUAACAGUAUGGUUGUUACGGUUCUAUCAAUCUCUAUAUUGAAGCAAGAGAAUUGUUCUAGAAGAAGACCUUACGGUAAAUAUUAAGCUAGGUGACAACAAUGAGUAAGAUUUAGAGAAAGACUCAAGAGGCUUGCAAGUGAUUCUUGAGCCAAUACGGCCUUAUUGCAUUUUUUCAGUUUGUUAAACGACCCAAGAUUCUCUCCUUGGCCCAUCGCUUUAGAUAAUUCAGACGUUGAUUAUUGGCGAUAAUGUCCUUAAUAAAAUGCUUUUCAUCAAAUUUCAUCUUUUGAUCAAGAACAUACAAACAACGACAGUUUGACUUUGUUUAUUUAAUUAAUUUGGUCUCUAACUAGCUAUUCAUUCUCCUUUCUAUUUUUAUUUGAAUAAUUAAUUUAAUAUUACAACAUUUUUUUUUUUGUUUUAGAGCAUAGAAAUAAAAAGGCAACCGGAUGAAAAUGAUGGAAAUUAAUUAAUUACCAUAUAGGUUUGUUAUUAGUUGUAGGGGUAGAGCUCAGAGUAAAUAUCGAGGGAGCUAAAUUCAAGCAAGUAUUAAUAGGGGGUCGAUUUUAGAUGGUUUUUUCAUCUAUAGCUAUGGAGUAAUCCCUGAAAAUUUAGAAAUUUUUCUUGUAAUUGUAGUAAUUUUAAUUUAGGGAUUUUGAUUAAUAAUUGAGGCUAUUGUUACAAAUAAAGAAUAAAAUAAAAAAGUAAUUAACAAAAUAAAGAUCAAAGAGACAAGUCUUGACUUCAUCAAAAUUUUAAAAGGCUAUUUGCUAUUUUAUUAGGAUGAAAAAGAAAAUACCAAAAUAAAGAUCAAAUCCGUUAAAAAAUAAAUAAAUAAAUAGAUAAAUAUCAAACACUUACACAACUUUGGCACUAUUUCACAAAAUAUCAAGUUACAUUUUCAUCCUAUAUAUAAAGUUUACAAAUUAAUUGUGUAGGGGCCAAAUCAGUAUUUUUAUAUAUUUCCUUUAGAAAUUUCAAAAGUUUUUUAAAGCUUACAGGUACCUUGGCCACUUCUAGUCUUAAGCACCCUCCGCCGCUAAUCAGAUGGAAAUUAUAAAUUAAUUUUCUUCAGACACUUAUACCAUUUUGCAAUGCAAAUUAAUUACGGUAAACCUAAGUUUGAUUAAUUCCUGAGAGCUAGCUAGCUUCUGGUUAAUAUAUAUAUAUAAUAACUAAUAAUUAACUAUUGAAGCAAAUAGUCUUUUAUAAAUAUAUAAAUGUCUUUUAUAAAUAUACCAAUGAGUUUCAUCUUAAAUUUUAAUGAAAUAUGAAAGUGAAUUCACGCAGCCCUUCAUACCAAAAAUGGAGUACCAAAAAUAAAAAUAGAGACAAAAGUUAAACUAAAACACACAGCUUAUAUAUUCUUCAUCUUCAGAUAGCCAGGAUGGACUACUGCAGUCUCCUUCUGUGAAUAUAUUUGAAGUGCGCAAAACCUCACAUAAUAGAACAACCGGCAAUAAUACUUGCCAACUGAAGUCCAGCUUCCAAAAGUCCAAAUGCCGCUAGCCAUUGAUUCUAGAAAGCAAUAAAUAAUUUUAACAUGUAGAAAUUCAUUAUCAGACGAUAGAUAGAUCAACAAGAAAUUCACUCUCAGAAUAUAUAAAAAUCAACAUAGCUCCUCAGCACUAUAUCCAGAUUUAUAAAAAUGUUAUGCACCAAAUUAAAUAAUUGCGUGAUUAUUCAAAAUUAAUUAAUCAAAGUUUGGUCAAACUCACCCUUUCCACCGUUGGGGUAUUUGAAUUGUAAGGAACAACUGCAAGAUUUGAAGGACUUUCUGAAUUAUCGGGCUGAUUCAGGGCAAAUCUUUGGCUUAGGGAGAUUCCGGAACUUGGCUGCAAUCAAUUGCAGAGUCAAUACAAGUCAUAUAAAUAAGCAAUUAAUUUCAAAAAUCUUUAAUUAGUAUAUAGGCAAAUGUUCUUUUAGAGCAUUAAAUUUUGAAUUAAGUGUCAACCCCCUUUUCUUGGGCUUAGAGGGCUCUGUUUCGCCUUCGGCUUCAACUACUUUUGUUUCGAACAGAUAACACCCAUUAUACACGAAAUAAAAAAAAAAAAUCAUUUAAUCCUAUAUUUUAAAAAAUAUCACAACACAUUCGUACUAGUAAAUAUAUAACAUUUUUCUCAUAUUUUUCUUUACUUUUCCAAUAAUACUCAUGGAAAUCCAACUUCCAAAGGUAUUAAUGUCGCUUGCCAUGGACCCUAGCAACCAGUAAAUAAUUUUAACAUGAAGAAAUUCAUUAUCAUACUAUAGAUAGAUCAACAAGAAAUUCAGUCCCAUAAUAUAUAAAAAUCAACACAGCUCCUCGGCACUAUAUCCAAAUUUAUAAAAAUAUUAUGCACCAAAUUAAAUAAUCGCGUGAUUAUUCAAAAUUAAUUGAUCAAAAUUUGGUCAAACUCACCCUUCCCACCGUUGGGGUAUUUGAAUUGUAAGGAACAACUGCAAGAUUUGAAGGACUUUCUGAAUUAUCGGGCCGAUUCAGGGCAAAUCUUUGGCUUAGGGAGAUUCCGGAACUUGGCUGCAAUCAAUUGUAGAGUCAAUAAAAGUUAUAUAAAUAGGCAAUUAAUUUCAAAAAUCUUUAAUUAGUAUAUAGGCAAAUGCUCUUUUAGAGCAUUAAAUUUUAAAUUAAGUGUCAACCCCGUUGUCUUAGGCGUAGAGGGCCCUGUUUCGCCUUCGGCUUCAACUACUUUUGUUUCGAACAGGUAGCACCCAUUAUACACGGAAUAAAUAAAAAAAGUCAUUUAAUCCUAUAUUUUAAAAAAUAUCACAACACAUUCCUACUAGUAAAUAUAUAACAUUUUUCUCAUAUUUUUCUUUACUUUUCCAAUAAUACUCAUGGAAAUCCAACUUCCAAAGGUAUUAAUGUCGCUUGCCAUGGACCCUAGCAACCAAUAAAUAAUUUUAACAUGAAGAAAUUCACUAUCAUACUAUAGAUAGAUCAACAAGAAAUUCAGUCCCAUAAUAUAUAAAAAUCAACACAGCUCCUCGGCACUAUAUCCAAAUUUAUAAAAAUGUUAUGCACCAAAUAAAAUAAUCACGUGAUUAUUCAAAAUUAAUUAAUCAAAGUUUGGUCAAACUCACCCUUCCCACCGCUGGGGUAUUUGAAUUGUGAGGAACAACUGCAAGAUUUGAAGGACUUUCUGAAUUAUCGGGCCGAUUCAGGGCAAAUCUUUGGCUUAGGGAGAUUCCGGAACUUGGCUGCAAUCAAUUGUAGAGUCAAUAAAAGUUAUAUAAAUAGGCAAUUAAUUUCAAAAAUCUUUAAUUAGUAUAUAGGCAAAUGCUCUUUUAGAGCAUUAAAUUUUAAAUUAAGUGUCAACCCCGUUGUCUUAGGCGUAGAGGGCCCCGUUUCGCCUUCGGCUUCAACUACUUUUGUUUCGACCAGGUAGCACCCAUUAUACACGGAAUAAAUAAAAAAAGUCAUUUAAUCCUAUAUUUUAAAAAAUAUCACAACACAUUCCUACUAGUAAAUAUAUAACAUUUUUCUCAUAUUUUUCUUUACUUUUCCAAUAAUACUCAUGGAAAUCCAACUUCCAAAGGUAUUAAUGUCGCUUGCCAUGGACCCUAGCAACCAAUAAAUAAUUUUAACAUGAAGAAAUUCACUAUCAUACUAUAGAUAGAUCAACAAGAAAUUCAGUCCCAUAAUAUAUAAAAAUCAACACAGCUCCUCGGCACUAUAUCCAAAUUUAUAAAAAUAUUAUGCACCAAAUAAAAUAAUCACGUGAUUAUUCAAAAUUAAUUAAUCAAAGUUUGGUCAAACUCACCCUUCCCACCGCUGGGGUAUUUGAAUUGUGAGGAACAACUGCAAGAUUUGAAGGACUUUCUGAAUUAUCGGGCUGAUUCAGGGCAAAUCUUUGGCUUAGGGAGAUUCCGGAACUUGGCUGCAAUCAAUUGUAGAGUCAAUAAAAGUUAUAUAAAUAGGCAAUUAAUUUCAAAAAUCUUUAAUUAGUAUAUAGGCAAAUGCUCUUUUAGAGCAUUAAAUUUUAAAUUAAGUGUCAACCCCGUUGUCUUAGGCGUAGAGGGCCCCGUUUCGCCUUCGGCUUCAACUACUUUUGUUUCGAACAGGUAGCACCCAUUAUACACGGAAUAAAUAAAAAAAGUCAUUUAAUCCUAUAUUUUAAAAAAUAUCACAACACAUUCCUACUAGUAAAUAUAUAACAUUUUUCUCAUAUUUUUCUUUACUUUUCCAAUAAUACUCAUGGAAAUCCAACUUCCAAAGGUAUUAAUGUCGCUUGCCAUGGACCCUAGCAACCAAUAAAUAAUUUUAACAUGACGAAAUUCACUAUCAUACUAUAGAUAGAUCAACAAGAAAUUCAGUCCCAUAAUAUAUAAAAAUCAACACAGCUCCUCGGCACUAUAUCCAAAUUUAUAAAAAUGUUAUGCACCAAAUAAAAUAAUCACGUGAUUAUUCAAAAUUAAUUAAUCAAAGUUUGGUCAAACUCACCCUUCCCACCGCUGGGGUAUUUGAAUUGUGAGGAACAACUGCAAGAUUUGAAGGACUUUCUGAAUUAUCGGGCCGAUUCAGGGCAAAUCUUUGGCUUAGGGAGAUUCCGGAACUUGGCUGCAAUCAAUUGUAGAGUCAAUAAAAGUUAUAUAAAUAGGCAAUUAAUUUCAAAAAUCUUUAAUUAGUAUAUAGGCAAAUGCUCUUUUAGAGCAUUAAAUUUUAAAUUAAGUGUCAACCCCGUUGUCUUAGGCGUAGAGGGCCCCGUUUCGCCUUCGGCUUCAACUACUUUUGUUUCGAACAGGUAGCACCCAUUAUACACGGAAUAAAUAAAAAAAGUCAUUUAAUCCUAUAUUUUAAAAAAUAUCACAACACAUUCCUACUAGUAAAUAUAUAACAUUUUCUCAUAUUUUUCUUUACUUUUCCAAUAAUACUCAUGGAAAUCCAACUUCCAAAGGUAUUAAUGUCGCUUGCCAUGGACCCUAGCAACCAAUAAAUAAUUUUAACAUGAAGAAAUUCACUAUCAUACUAUAGAUAGAUCAACAAGAAAUUCAGUCCCAUAAUAUAUUAAAGUCAACACAGCUCCUCGGCACUAUAUCCAAAUUUAUAAAAAUGUUAUGCACCAAAUAAAAUAAUCACGUGAUUAUUCAAAAUUAAUUAAUCAAAGUUUGGUCAAACUCACCUUUCCCACCGCUGGGGUAUUUGAAUUGUGAGGAACAACUGCAAGAUUUGACGGACUUUCUGAAUUAUCGGGCCGAUUCAGGGCAAAUCUUUGGCUUAGGGAGAUUCCAGAACUUGGCUGCAAUCAAUUGCAGAGUCAAUACAAGUCAUAUAAAUAAGCAAUUAAUUUCAAAAAUCUUCAAUUAGUAUAUAGGUAAAUGUUCUUUUAGAGCAUUAAAUUUUGAAUUAAGUGUCAACCCCCUUUUCUUGGGCUUAGAGGGCUCCGUUUCGCCUUCGGCUUCAACUACUUUUGUUUCGAACAGAUAGCACCCAUUAUACACGAAAUAAAUAAAAAAAAUCAUUUAAUCCUAUAUUUUAAAAAAUAUCACAACACAUUCGUACUAGUAAAUAUAUAACAUUUUUCUCAUAUUUUUCUUUACUUUUCCAAUAAUACUCAUGGAAAUCCAACUUCCAAAGGUAUUAAUGUCGCUUGCCAUGGACCCUAGCAACCAAUGAAUAAUUUUAACAUGAAGAAAUCCAUUAUCAUACUAUAGAUAGAUCAACAAGAAAUUCAGCCCCAUAAUAUAUAAAAAUCAACACAGCUCCUCAGCACUAUAUCCAAAUUUAUAAAAAUAUUAUGCACCAAAUUAAAUAAUCGCGUGAUUAUUCAAAAUUAAUUGAUCAAAAUUUGGUCAAACUCACCCUUUCCACCGCUGGGGUAUUUGAAUUGUAAGGAACAACUGCAAGAUUUGAAGAACUUUCUGAAUUAUCGGGCCGACUCAGGGCAAAUCUUUGGCUUAGGGAGAUUCCGGAACUUGGCUGCAAUCAAUUGUAGAGUCAAUACAAGUUAUAUAAAUAGGCAAUUAAUUUCAAAAAUCUUUAAUUAGUAUAUAGGCAAAUGCUCUUUUAGAGCAUUAAAUUUUAAAUUAAGUGUCAACCCCGUUGUCUUAGGCUUAGAGGGCCCCGUUUCGCCUUCGGCUUCAACUACUUUUGUUUCGAACAGUUAGCACCCAUUAUACAUGGAAUAAAUAAAAAAAAGUCAUUUAAUCCUAUAUUUUAAAAAAUAUUACAACACAUUCCUACUAGUAAAUAUAUAACAUUUUCUCAUAUUUUUCUUUACUUUUCCAAUAAUACUCUUGCAACAAUCUAAAAAAAUUAAUUAAUUUAUCUAUAAAAAAAGUUAAUUAGCAAAUUACCAAUAAUUAUCUUUCUAAAGAAAUUGAUAUUUUUCAGACACUUGCAAUAAUCUCUAAUAAAUAUUUAUAAAUAAAUAAAUUACCAACUUAAAGCUACAUUUAAUAUCUUGUUAAUAAUUGUAAAAAAAAAAAUUAUGUUACCUAAUUAAUCCUAAAAGUAAAAUAAUAAAAAAAUUUAUUUUAUUUUUUAUGUUAAUUUUUAUUUUACUUUUAAUGUUAAUUUAAUAAAUUAACUUUUUUUUCUUUUCGUUAGCAUCACCAAGAAUAUUGUUGCAUGGAUAAUAUCAUUAAAAAUAAGGAAAAGAUAAGGGUAUAGUAGUAACAGUAUUUUAAGAUUUUUUUUCAAAUAUAAGAGUUAAAUAUACACCUAAUAUCAAAAUAUAGAGACAAAACUAAUAUUUACUCAUAAUAAUAUAAUAAUAAUAAAUACCUGAUGAUUGGGUAAAGGUUUCUUCCUCAAAGACUCAAGCAACGAAAAAUUAUCCACAAAAUGCGAACGGGCAUGAUUAUGAUCGUGACGCCCUUUAUCGCAGAAACAUUCCAGGCAGAUACUGUAAGCAGCUGUCUGGGGUUCAAAGCACCUCAUGCAAGUGAAAUACUCAUUGGUUAUGAAGAUUUUGCACUGGCCGCAAAUUGGCCUUCCACUUUUCAGUAUAUAGUAGAGAGUCAACACUUCCUUAAAAUCUAAACCACCGCUUCUAUCGAUGUCUAGUUGAUUGAAGAAGUCACGAGUACGCAUGUUCUCAUCGUGUGCUUUCAGCGACAUGAAAUGUGAAAAAACCCUGUAACUCACCCUACGGUUUCCAUCUUUAUCCAUUGAUUGGAAAAAUUGAUUGAAUAAACGUCUUUCUUCAUCCGUUCCAGACUCAUAAUACGCUAAAGCAACCUUUCUCAACGCCUCCAUUGCAGUUUCUUUUUUGGCUUAAUUUGCCAGAGUUUGUGGUGAAGACCUUCAUAUACUCUUUUCUCCAUAUGUUAUUAUGCUAAUUGAUUAGUCUUAGGGAAAAUGAUUGAAACCUCCUUACCCAUCGUCCCCCUUCAUGUUUCAGUAAAUUAACCUCUUCUCUUUCAUAUUUCAAAACCUAUAAAAGACCCCAGUUAUUAACAGCUUCUCUUAACUUCAGACUUAUGAUUAAUUUUUUAAUGGAUAAUUAAUUGCUGAAAUUAAUACAAAGUAAUCAUACGUCAGAUUUUAAGGUUAAAUUAGUAAAAUAAAAAAAGUUGAAAGUUAUUUUUUCUAAUUAUAAGAAAAUUUUGAUGAAUUUUAUAAUAGGAGGAAAAAAUUAUUAAUUUUAACAAACAAAACAACAGCGGGGAUCAUUUUCCAUUUAUAUUUCUCUAACUUUCAUAUAUGCCUGGUUUUUUCAACAAGGGAAUAUUCUCAACUACUUAUUGAAGCAAGUAGCAACCUAGUGUAUGUGCAUGUGCAUGUCUGCAUGAUUAAAACGGAUCUUCUUGACCCCAGAAUACUGUAAUUAAAUUCUUUUAGUUAAUUUUUGAAAAUACGCUAAUAGUCAUGUAUUUGGUAGCGAGUCUGCAUAGAAGAUUAUGAUAAACAUAUUGUUGUUUCCUUAAUUAAUAGUAAUUAAUCGCGAUUAAGAAGUGGUGAAUUAUAUAUAUGACGACGAUAUAUUUGUGACAUACAUAGAAGAUGCCCUGAGAGAAUUCAACUUUAAUUUUUUAAUCAGUCAAUUAAAUUAGCAUUUGGCACUGUCCACACCAAAGGGAAAUGAUAGUCAAAUUUUAAAAGUUUCAAGAAGCAAAGAGGAGAAUCUGGAGAGUUUUCACAUUUGUUGGUUUUAACGGGUUUUGUAAUAUUAUAACAAAUAUUUUUUGUUAUAGGCUACGGUGCAUAUUAUACUUAAAGUAUAUAAGUUGUUAUCUCUACAAGGUAUCAAUGACUGUUUAAAAGAUUUUUAAAAAUGUAAAAUUAUGGAUAUGUUAAAGUUAAAUGUUCUUGUAAUACCUGUAGUUUGAAUUAAUUACAUAGUUAAUAUCUUUAUUUUCAAAAAAUAUUACUCAAAAUAUUUGUGUUUUUACUUUCAUAUAAUAAGUGAAAAAUUAUCCUACUAAAUUUUAAUGGGUCUCAAAAGACGUAAUCCAGUAGCUUUUAAAUAACUUUAUUUUAGUUGGCGACUCAAGUUGGAAUCUUAAGAAAGGUAAGGGGCUAAAAAUUCAAUUUGAGUUUUGUCCAAAAUGAAUUUGAAUGGAAACAAGUAUAUGACAAGGACCAUUAGUCAGUCUUUAAAAAUAUAAAGACUGACUAAAUAAUUAGUUCUGAUUAUAAGGGUGAAAAGAGAAAUUUUCAACAUAUUAAAGAUGAACCUUAUGCGGUCUACGCGGGUUUGAACUAACAUACAAAGCAUUUUUUAGCGUUUCAAACUUGAAGACUAAUUUUUUUAACUAAAAAGUUCAAACGUUCAACAAAAGUUCAAACAUCUUUCAGCGUUUACCAUACAAAAGUUCAAACGUCAAGACCGAAAUUAAUAAAGUAUGUGGCAUGGAUGUGAGCCACCCAUAAACUAAUGUUUUAGAAUCCACAUUUUGCAGUUUUUGCCACAUUUUCCAAAUAAAAACAAUAUUUUAAAAGAAAAAAGGACCUGUCUAUGGACCGAUCUUCUAUUGUUUAGUUUCUCACUCCACAUCCAACGGCUGAUGCUGCAGUCUGUAGCUUACAGAAUCUGUAAGCUAGUCAAGUCCGAAAAAAGGAAACUCUAUUGCUAAAGUUCGUCUUUUAUUAAUGAUUGCCGACAGAUGAUGCCUUGGAGCCCAAAGCUACGUACUCAACUGUUAUUGUUGGCACGCAAAAAUUCGUUGGCAAUAUUUGUAUUGAUUUAUUAUUAUAAUCUUCCCAAUCACCGGCCCUUGGCACGUCGGCUACCUAUAUAUAUAUAUAUGCAGCUGUAGUCCUGUGGACACAUUAAGGCUCCAAUUUCUACAUAGAUUUCAAAUAAUUAACAAACAUCCAGCAUAAAAGAUACGGAGUGUGUAGUAACUGUAGUCUAUACCUAACUAUAUUAUUUCCAAUUUUAAAGUAAAUCUGAACAGUGUUGCAAAUAUUGGCUUCAUUCUUUUUUGUCGUAUCAGUGAUACUCUACUGAGUACUUUUUUUUUUUUUUUUUUGACAAGCUCUAGUGCGUACUUGGUUUAGGCAUUGAAGUUUCUUUUUGUUGGGUGAUCAGCGAGGAAGUUUCGCUAUUUAUAAUUUAUAAUUUUCUUGCUUGAGCACUUAAUCUCUCGGGUUUCCUACUUUACCAGGUCCACUUUCUCUCUCGGGUUCGGCGUUGGCUCAACUCUUGUCCGGUUCGUUUUGUCUUCCAAAGUUCCAAUGGCAUAUCGACACGCCUGCUGAUGGACGCAGUGACAAUUAACUGUUUAGCGUAAAUGAGGGGUUUUAUUUUACAAUUUUUAAAUUAACGAUUUAAAGAGUUAGGUUACUUCAUAGUAUUAAAUGUUUAACAUCAAUUAAUUAGUUAUUAAUAAAUGUUUAAAAACUUAUAAUCUAAUUUUACUAAUUUUUUUCAAGAAAAGUGCAUCUAAUUUUUUUUUUUAAAUUGAAUCAUGUCUUUUAACUAUUAAAUUUUCAAGUGGUAAAGUGCAACCUUUUUAGGAACCAAGUUUUGAAUUUGAUCUUCAAUGAAUGCAUGAGUUAAUAAUAAUAAAAUAAAAAAUUAUUUUAUUUGUUAAUCUUCUAGGGCCACCAGAUUAGCAAGUUUCAUUAAGUGCAUGAGUUAAUCAAGGGACAGUGACCACCCUUAAAACUAUGAAGAGCUGUUGAAGAGAUGAAGUCAAUGGUUUAACAUCCAUUCUCCUAUCACCAAUUGAUUUUUAAAGGCAUAUGACAACUUUUACUUUAAAACUCCAUAAUUAGACAUGUUGAAGCAUUUUCUGAUCGGUGAGACAUUAUCAUUUUUUUUUAUUGCAAUGUUCUACUGCUUCAUAGAUGAUCAUUCAAUGAAAAUUAGACAUGUAAGCAUAUUAUCAGUUUAAUAUACAUGGUUAUGUGACAUUGUGAAAAUUGGUUGAUGAAACUAACAAAUGAUCUAAGACAGAUUACGCUUUGCUCUUUUAAGUGAGUCUAUACUUCAUAUACACUUUGCCAUUGAAUCAUGCAACAAUAAUUCACUUAAAAUGCAAUUUGUAAUUUGAAUGUAUUGUGUAAAAUGGGGCAUAAUAUCAUCCUAAAAUAAAUAUGUAUACACACACACACAAAAGAAUCAAAUCAACAAAUUGAUGGUAAAAAGAUUUCUCAAUUUCUCAACAGCAAACCAAAGACAGUUCCUCUAUUUCCACCUUCGGAGCUCCUAUCAGCCUCUCUCUCAUAAGUAUUUUAGUUUUUAUUUUUAAUUUUAGUUCGUUAUUCCUCCACUAAUGGAGACUGUUAUUUAGGAUUGAUAAAUUAAGGGUUUGCCCAGGCUUUUUCAAGCCCAGAACUAAGACCAUUAGAGUAGUAGUGUAAGGAUUGGGUCUAGGCCAAGCCCACUGCAGAGCUAGGCUAGAGUUGGGCUGGGCUUGAGCUUUUAUUUAUUUUUUAAUUUUUUAAAAAUUAUUAUAAACUUGAAAUGAGUUCAUAAUAAUCAAGUUAUUAUAAUCAAUAAUGAAUUAAAAGAAAAUAAAUAUUUAAAAAUAAAUUAAUAAAUAAAGAAAAUUAAGCAAAUAAAAGUUUAGGGAUUUAAUUUUUAGUACUCGUUCUCUAAUUAAAGCACUCUCUUAAUUAAUUAACAUUUAAAAGAAAAUUUAAAAUUAUAAUUUUAAGUUUUUUAUUAAUUAUUAAUAUAUAAAUUAGGAAUUUAAACUUCUUUUUUAUUUUUUAUUAUUUUUUAAAUUUAAAUUUAUUAUUUUAAUUUGUAAUUUUUUUUUUAAAAAAAUAGAGGUCUUAAGGUUGGGUUGUGCUUUUUUUUUUUUUUUUUUUUCUAAACUUUUAUCUAAACCCUCAUGUGAGAGGACCGAGCCAAAGACGGCCCAAAUUUUUUACCAUCUCUACUGCUCUUCCUCUUAACGCCAAACAUCUGAAUUUUUGUGUUAUAUUGUGUUGUUCUUCUAUAUUUGAUGAGGCUAUAAGGCUCAAAUCUAGAAAGUUACGCGUUACAUAUCGUUGUUAGACGAGCGUUUAUAGCAUCAUUUUGAAAGAUGGAGCCACUUAAAGGUGAACUCAUGCUCUCACUCACUUUGGUGACUCUCAUAAAAUUACUCUUCCAUUUAAAAUUGAAAAGAGAUAAUCUUUUGUUCUAUUAGUGCGGUUUGAGCAUAAGUUGCUUUCAAUGUGCGCGAUGGAAAAAAUUUAUAACUGUGCUAAUGUUUCGAAGAACAGACCCAUUGGUAACGUCGACCACGCAUUCACAACUUGGGAAGGAAAGUCAGUCAGGGGCGGUAGUCAAGCGGCUGACUGCUUGUUCCUCGAGCAGCAAGUCGAACAAACUUUGACACACAAUUUUUUUUUUGUUUUCAGAAAAAAAAAAUAAUAUGCUAUUUGUUUUAAGGGGUUACUCUAUGCAAAUAUAAGGGAAAAAAUUAAUAAGAAAAUAAUGAUUUAAAAACCUAUCAAAAGCUCUCAUUAAAUUGACAAAAAUAACGCAUUAUGCCACAUGUACGGUGGAAAAGAUUUUUAAGACCAAGAUUAGUCCACCGCACAGACAAGUCAUCAGAGCGACUCUUAAAAUAAAUUAAAAUAAGCGUGAAAUAGCUCGUUCUUAUCCACUCCCCUCGAAUCACAUGAUUACGAUUUUCAGACCCACAGGAGUAUUAUUACGCGCCAUCGCUCUAUGAAUAGACUCAACGAACGCAAAGCCCAUUCACUGUGACAGACUCGCAGGAGAGAGAUAUAAUCAAUCAUCAAGGUUCCAAGAAUGAAGAAGCUUGCGAAGAGCCACAGCCACGGUGAAAGAAACAAAUCAACAACAGAUCAGCGGAGUGACAAGAAAUCAGCAACUGGCAUGAACGGAUCACCAAAAAAGAAAGGACACGGGGGCAAGUACACGUGGUCAGGCGACGGUUACUCGCAGGCUGAGAUCGGCUUCGACGAAGCCAUCGAUGCUAAUGAUCCUAACUUUGAAGAUCCUGAAGAUCAGAAGGAGACCGUCGCCGUUUGAUUUUGUUUUUGAUUCUGAUGAUUUACUAGCUUAUGAUCGUCGCUGUUUAAUGUUUUAUUUAAUUUUUGCUCUUUCAAAAAGAUGAGAUGAGAUUUAGAUGUACAUACCUUGUGAUUUCGUCUUUCAAUAAAAUCCAUACGUCUUUCUACUGCAAUUAAUCGGCUAAUGUCAGAUUUUUUCCAUUAAAAAACUGAAAACAUCCAUGAACUGAUUGACGUCAGAUUAAUUCAAUAAUCGGCUAAUGUCAGAUUUAUAUUCAACUUUUCUCUAAUUGUAGAUAUACAAUUGCGUUACAUUAUGUUGAUAUAUGAGGGACUAUGAUAAUGAAACUAUAAUAAACAAUAGGUGAAUAAGGCAAAUCAUGUUAUCUUACCACCCCAGCAGAAGCCCACAGCCCCAGUUGCAGUUAUACCUUUGCAUAACUGAAACAUUAACAUUAAAUAAUGGCUCUUCAAAUCCCUUGUCCUAUUAGAAAAGUAAAUGGCUCAGCACUGAAACAUUAACAUGGCCCUCUAUAACAGCAUUAAAUAAUGAAAUACAUUUUGUCAUGUAUCAGAAGUCUGGACCCAACCACUCCUUGAUCUUUUAUCCAUUCCUGUAGGGGUCUCCCGCCAUCUACAUUUGGAUCCCCAUGAAAGAAGUCAGGAACUGCGACAUAGAAUCCAGCUGCUGCAACCUUGUCUGCAAGCUUCCUUUGUUGUAGAAAGCAUCUGAUAUUAGCUCCCAGUCGAACACAGGGUAGCAAUAUGAUCGAGCAAACUGGCAGAUAAAUGAACACAUGCUUGUACAAUGUUUAUAAAUAGAUACCAAAUCACCGUACCAUUGACCCAGAGUUGUUUUCAUGGGUGUACAUAAUUUUAAAUUUUCAAUUAGAUACCCCCUGAAUAUGUUUACCAGUGAUUGAGGCAGGUUCCAAAAUGUACAAAUUUUUCUUAACCCGAAGAAGAGCAUGAAUAAUAAUAGCAAAGACAAAGACACGUAGAAUCAUAAAUUAAGAUAAGCUCACAAAACAAAUCAAUUAGCUGUGGAUGCAAGAGAAAGAAAUUAGAGCAAGUCAUACCUCAAGUUUGGAGCUUCAUAACCUGCAAGAUAAGGCGAAGACAAGUAAGAAUUAGAAGGCGAAGACAAGAAAGAAUUAGAAGCUUAUAGAGGCAGAAGAAUAAAGGUGAACAAAAUAGGUAGAGUCAAUACGAAAUGAAAUGGAGGACAAAGAGAACCGACAAACACCCUGAUUAACCAAUCAAAAGAUGCAUAAACACAAGCAACCCUGAUGAUAAAUUGAAGUGAGAGAAACAAAAUUAACUAGUGAAAACAAGAAAUGGAAAAAACAGUGAAACAUACACAGAAAACUAAAGCAAAAGACUAAAACAAAAGCAGCCCAGAUGUAAUUUGCCCAAAUAAACACAACCCGGAUCAUAAUUUGCAGUGAAAAUAUAAGAAGUGAAUGGACAUGAUACUGAGAUGGGUCAGGUACCGAAAACGUCGGAAAUGAGAAGAGCAGCAAGCUUGGAGUCAGGAGAGCCAGUGACGUAAGUGUUGAGUCCACCAAGUUUCUCAACAUGACCUGCUCCACUGUUUGGAUUCAGUGUUGGUGGAUUUGCACAGCACUGAGGACCUGACAUUUUUCUCCUGCUUAUGCUUAACCUUCCUUACACUAGUGUUCAGAAAACGCUCUCUUCUUCUAUCACAAACGUUUAUGAUUUUAUCCAACGGAGAGACUUACGUCUUGUAUAUCUAUUUAUAUAGAGUUUCAGCAUGUUCACUGCCGGGACUCUAUUUCCCUCCCAAUUGUUUAUACUUUCAAAAAGAAACAUGUGGGUUAUGGUUCGUGAGAGUUAUAAAUUAUUAUGCCGGAAGCCUGCGUCACGCCGUUGCAUUUUUCUAUUUAGCUUCCGACAUUUUUUAGUUAGAGUUAUGUAGCUUCCGACAUUUUUUUAUUUGAAGAGUAACAAUUUCUUAUUUUUCUUGGGCCACACGCCACUCCGUUUUAUGUAUAGGUUCGUUGAUUCGGAAGAACAAUGUUUGCUUGGUCCAUGCCACGAAUCUUUUGCAUCAAGUAAUGGAAUACUAACUAUCGAGCUGCCGGGUCAUUGGCAUGUCAUUGGUACUUCAUAUAUAAAAGUUCGGAAUAAUGUUUGGUCCAUGCCACUAUUCUCUGCAAAAAUUUUAAAUAAUAGAACGAUCAACAUUAUAACAUUUUUUAACUUUGACAGAAACCUGUUAAUUUCUUAAUUUGACCAAUUGGUUUUGCAAAUAAUUUUAUUUGACUAGCGUUCCAGAUCCUUAUACCCACUAAUUCUUGAGCCGUUAAUAAAUUAUGGAAUUUUAAAAGUUUAAAUAUUUAUUUAGUAUGACUUAUAUAACAGCCAUUAGUAUUUAUUUACUCUUAAUUUUUUUUUUCAAAAAGAUUUAUGAGUAUUUAUUUCUAUUUUCAGAAUAAAUAUUAUUAUGUUAAGAACUAAAUAAAUUAUUUUACAUCUACUAAUAAAAGUUUAAAGAGAUUUAAAAAUAAAAAUAAACAACUUAUAGCCUGUUUAAAAAGUACAGUUGUCUAAAAUAUCCAUUAUUUAUUUACACUUUUAUUUCAUUGUUUUCAUAUUAUAAUUUUUAAAAUUAUCUAUUAAUAUAAUUUUAUAAAUUUUAAGUAAUGAGUAAACAACUAUUUUUUUUUUUUAACUGAAAACCUAAUAAAAAUCCUAAAUGAAUAAACUUUAUUUGAGAAGCUAUAUGCCUAAAUUCAUCAAAAUUAUUCACACUUAAAGCAAAAUUGAUUAGAGUUAAGCAGCACUACAUAUUUUCGAGAAGUAUAUUAAGACAAGUUAAACAAAAUGAAUUUUCAAAUAAUAGAUUUUUUUUUUCAAAUGAAGAAGGGGCGCAAGCCCAGCGCCACAAAGAACCUUCAGCAAAAGCCUGACCACAUGCGGUGCCAAUUUUUCAUUCAUCAUAUCACGUAUAUUUUUAUUCAAUUUUAAUUGCAAGAACAUCAAACACGCUAAAUGUUGACAUACUUAUUCAAUCAUUCAUCAGCACAAUAAUCCAUUCCAUGCGGUUCCUCAGUUGACAUACUUGGCAAACCAUUCCAGCAUAUUUUGAUGAGCUUCCUCUGCACACUUCGCAGCAGAUUUGUCUUCUACAUUGUAUCUCACCGUCCAUCCGUGAGAAACUUUUGGAAAUAUUUUCACAUACCCAUCAACCUGGUAACAAGUAUCACAAGUAAAAUAGUCAUCGAAACUGCUUUUAACCAUAGAUCCAGAUUAACUUUGAAGCAGAAAUGAAACUUCAAUGCGAACCUGUUAAGUGUCGUUACGAAUGCACAGAACAGAGCAGGUCCAGAUAAAUUAAACUUUACUGAUAUAUUGCUUUUAUUGGAAUGGAAGAUGAGCUCUCGAAAUUGAUGGAAAAACAGAAAAAAUGGUCGCAUUGUACAUGUUAUUAAAAAGCACUGAAUUUAUGUCUAUACAUAUAUAUACCUCAGAUUUAGCAAUUAAGACCUUUGCAAAUUGCUUCAAGAGAGCUGGGGGAGAAAUCUGAUCAAACUCAGCUCCCAGUACUGCAGUGGGAACCUCAACCGCUGAAAGUAAUACCAACCAAUAUGGUUUGUUACACCAAAUAAAACAAUGAGUAGUCCAACAAAAGAUAAAAGAAACAAACUAAAACACUUUCCCAUCCGCACGCCAUAAUCAGAACUUUUAUAAAGAUUUGUAUGUAAACUAUGUGUACGCACUCAACAAUAAGCAUUUCUCGCCUAUGAACACACACUGAAAGGGGGAAAAUCUAUGAAUCCGUACCCUUGAUAUCAUCUACAGUUACGAAAGAGAGAUGUAACAGCACGGCAGCUUGGAUGAACUCGCGCUUCGCUAGUUGAACCGCUACUUUAGCUGAGAAUAAAAGUUAGUUAAUAGCGGCCAGUUCAAUGAUCAAUGGUGAAAAUCAAGGAUUUAUACCUUCAAAGUCUAUCUAGUUGAAAUAUGAGAGACUUGAUAAUGAAACCAUCAUGAAAAGAAUACAUGAGCAAGGGAAAACAUGUAUCUUACCACCCCAGCAGAAGCCUGCAGCACCAAUUGCAGUUCUACCUUGUUGGGUGCAAGCGGAAGUGCAGAGAAUUUUUUAUUUAAGAACAAAGUAUUUUGCUGGAAAUUACUGAAACUUUAUUGCUUAAUUCAUUUUUUCGUUUCUCUCUUACUUUUCAUACAACCAGAGUUCUAUAUUUAUAUGCAUUAUAGACAACUCUAGAGAUUACAUUAAUCAUGCUUUACAUUUCCAAAGCCACAUUGCAAGCAUCAAUUCUACCCUUUACUUCAAGUUGAAAAACAAACCAAAUAACCCUUCAAACUUCUUGCUCAAUUUACUAGAUUACUAAUUAUAUCUCAACACCCCCUCUUAAUUAGUAAUCUUCAAUUGCUUCUUGAAUUUUUCAAACUUCUCAAUGAUGAUUGCUUUGGUCAGAAAAUCUGCUGGCUGCUCAUUAGUGCUGAUAAACUCCAUAUUAACUUCUCCUUUGCUUACUAAGUCACGGAUGUAGUGAUAACGCAGCUCAAUGUGCUUAGAUUUAGCAUGAAAUACGGGGUUCUUUGUUAGAGCAAUGGCUGACAUGUUGUCACAAUAAAUUGUUGUUGCAGCAUCUUGAUUGAACUGCAAAUCCUUGAGAAUUCUUCUAAGCCAAACGGCUUCACAAGCUGAUUCAGUUGCUGCAAUGUACUCUGCCUCGGCUGAGGAUAAAGCUACUGACUUCUGCUUCCUUGAGCUCCAUGAAAUCACAUUUGUACCAAGACAAAAUAAAUAACCUGAUGUGCUUUUUCUGUCAUCAAGGGAACCAGCCCAGUCACUGUCUGUAAAACCAACAAGCUUGCAAUUGUCUUCUUUUUCAUACAUGAUCCCCUGUUUUUUUGUUCCUUGAAGAUACCUUAAGAUUCUCUUUGCUGCAAUAUAAUGGGACUUCCUUGGAUCAUUCAUAAAUCUAGAAAGAACACUAACUGAGUGCAAAAUGUCAGGUCUUGAGUUGGUUAGAUAAAUCAACGAACCAACCAAGCUUCUAUAGAUUCUUGCGUUAGCCUUUUCUUCUUUUUCAUCAUGUUUCAAUUUUUCAUUCAAACCCAUAGGAGUAGGUGCUGGUUUGCAUUUGAACAUGUGGAAUUUCUUCAACAAAUCUUCUACGUAUUUUUCUUGACAAAAGAAGAUUUUUCCUCUGGCUUGCUUCACUUGAAUGCCAAGAAAAUACUUCAUUAAGCCCAAGUCAGUCAUCUCAAAUUCACCUAGCAUGCUUUUUUUAAACUCUUGCACCAUUUUCAGAGUAGUGCCACAAUAAAUCAGAUCAUCAACAUAAAGGCAAACAAUAAGGAAAUCAGUACCUUCCUUUUUGACAUAAAGAUAAGGUUUACUUGAGCUUCUGUCAAAUCCAUUUUUAACGAAAUAUCUAUCAAUUCUGCUAUUCCAUGCUCGAGGGGCUUGCUUCAAGCCAUACAAGGGUUUUCGGAGUCGAUAAACUUUGUUUUCUUCACCUUUCACUUCAUAUCCUUUAGGCUGCUCAACAUAAACCUCUUCUUCAAUUUCACCAUUUAGAAAUGCCGAUUUUACAUCUAGCUGAAGCACAUUUAAUUCCAUUUAGGCUGCCAAGGCAAGAAUAGUUCGAAUAGUCUCCAUUCGAGCUACGGGAGCAAACGUUUCUGUAAAAUCAACUCCAGGCAGCUGAGAGUAUCCUUUAGCAACGAGUCGCGCCUUAUAUUUUUGAAUUGAACCAUCUUCAUUGUACUUGAUUUUGAAGAUCCAUUUCAGCCCAAUUGUUUCUUUUCCAUUUGGCAAAUUAACCAUCUCCCAAGUUUUAGUUUUCACAAUGGUGGCCAUUUCCUCGUUCAUUGCUUUGAUCCAAUCUUCAUUUCUUGAGGCCUCCUCAAAGUCUUGAGGCUCACAAGAAAAUAAAGCAAGUUCACAUGACUCAUAAAUUUCUCUCAUUGACUUUAUCUUCCUUGGAGGGCUUUCAUCAUCCGAAGAACUUUCUGCUGCUGAAUUUGGAGAAUUUGGUUCCAAAUUAUUUUGCUGGGAAGAAUUUGGUGGAGAAAUAGGAGCUUCAAAAAAGCUAGAUGCUUGAGAUUGAUCUUUUUCCCACUGCCAAGCUGAUGCCUCAUCAAAUACAAUAUCUCUUGAGAUAACAAGCUUAUUUGUUGUAGGAUUCAACAACCGAUACCCUUUAGACUCAUCACUAUAGCCAAUAAACAAAUAUUUUUCACUUUUUUCAUCAAACUUCUCCCUGUUUUGAGCUGGAAUAAGAGCAUAAGCAAUACUCCCAAAAAUCUUCAAGUGAUCAACAGUUGGCUUUCGGUUGUGCCAAGCUUCAAAUGGAGUUUUGUCUCUAACAGCUUUUGUAGGAGACCUGUUGAGAAUGUACACAGUUGUAUGACAUGCUUCUGCCCAUAAGUUGUUAGGAAUGCCUUUGCCUUUUAACAUGCUUCUUGCCAUUUCUACAAUGGUACAAUUCUUCCGUUCUGCGACUCCGUUUUGUUGUGGACUUCGGCUGACAGUAAGUUGUCUUUGAAUUCCAUUAUCCCUGCAAUAAUUCAUGAAUGGAGUGUAGAUAAAUUCACCACCACGAUAAGUUCUCAAGGGCUUCAUUUUGCAUCCACUUUGCCUUUCUGCAAGAGCUUUAAACUGAAGAAAAGUUGAGAAAGCUUCUGAUUUUUCAUUCAAAAAAUAAAUCCACAUCAUCCUUGUAUAGUCAUCAACAAAAAGAAUGAAAUAUCUCCUGUUAUUGAGAGAGAGAGUCCUUGUAGGACCACAAAUAUCAGCAUGCACCAACUCCAACGGAGCUUUGGCUCUCCAUGAAUUUUUAGGAAAUGGAAGUCUAUGCAUUUUUCCAUAGAUACAGCCCUCGCAAACUUUUUCAUAUCUUCCAACAUCAGGUAGGCCAAUCAGGCAAUCACCAUGUUCUUUUGCUUGAGCAAAUUCAGCCCUUUAUAGUUUAAAUGGCCAUAUCUGAGAUGCCAUAAAUUUGACAAAUCUGAAUUUUCAGUUUUGAGAGCAACAUUCUCAUCAAGUGGCAUAACAAGAGGAAAAACUUUGUUCUUUGACAUUUCAACAACGGCCACUGUGUGAUUAUUAAUUUUAUCAAUAAUUUUGCAUUUUUCAUCAUCAAAAUAAAUUGAAAAACCCUUUUGAAUUAGCUGCCCCACACUCAAGAGGUUUUGAGUUAAAUUUGAAACAUAAAAAACGUCAGAAAUGAGCUUUUUGUUACUGUUGUGCAAAUUUUAAUAUACUCGUAAGCGCACGAAUCUAUUGUAGUAUAGAUCAAUGGUGACGAGUGUCGAUCCCAUGAGGAGGUGGAUUUUAAUUGUGUAUAGAAUUAAUUUUGCAAAUGGUUGAUUGGAUCUGUGGUGGAAAUGAUUUGGAAUAUGCUAAAACUUAAAUUAAAAUGGCGAGAAUAAAUGCUGAAAUUGGAAUUGAAAUGGCAAGAAUAAAUUGAAGAGAAAUGUAUUGAAAUGAUGUACUUGGGUAUCUGGAUCCGUAUCAACAUGCAUCAUGGGCUAAAUAAUCCGUAUUAAUGCCAAUUAAAUCAUGAGGGGGGAAUCCACACCUCAUGAACCACGCUCUAAUCAAUAUGGUGCUAAGGGCUUAUCGUGCCAAAUAAUAAUAACCUUAUACUAGAGAGCCGGUGUAACCAAGGCGGUAUCUAGACAAGAUCAGUAUUAUUUGUCGACGAUAAGUCAAAUCAUCCACAAAAACUAGAGGGGAAAAGAAAAUAAAUUUACCAAAUAAAGCCCAUGACACAUGUUGAGACUUCACCUUCAACCCAAGCUUGAAAAGAAAUUAGUUACUCAUAAUUGAACUAGGGGCAAAAAGGGAAUUUAUUAAAAUACAAAGAAAAUACAAGAUGGAGAAGGAAUUACAGAAAAUGGAUCCCAAAAAUGGAUUCAGAGAUAUCAAAAAUGGCCAUCGGAUUAAAAACAGUUUGGACGCUCAGGAUUGCGCCACGUCAUCAGUCAACAGUCCACGGUUUGACCACGCGGAUGAACAGUAACACGGUUUGACCCGGAUGAACAGUAACACGGUUUGGUUGAAAAUAAUCCUGUGUGAUGCAUGCACCGUACGCGAGAUUUUUCGUCUACUGAUAUGCUGCCACGUCACCAUCAACAGUACAUAAGAAGUUUAGUCCAACAGGAUCGUGACACCUCAUCAGUCAAUGCCACAUCAUCGAUCAAUGCCACGUCAUCGAUCCGUCUAUGUGAACAGUGUCGUGAACAGUAACGUAGACAGUACCGUAUACGUGAAUAGUACCAUACAUGUGAAUAGUGCCAUUUUUCCUUUUAUGCUCCUCUUAAGGUUUUCGACCGUCCUAAGUUCAAAAGUGAUGUCCGUUUUGCCGUCUGAUCUCUCCUUUAUUGUGAAAUGACUAUAAUGCCCCUAAAAUACAUAAAAUACUUAAUUAAAAUAACACACACGUAAUUACAUCACAAGAAUGUUAAAUACAUUAAAGUAAGGGUUGUUAGUAAGACUUGAAAUGUAAAAUGACGGUUUUCUUCUUUAUAAAUAUGCAUUUUCUAACACUCAACAGUUACCUCCCUCAAAAUGACAUCAAAUACCCUACCCACAUUAUUUUCAUAUGCUCCCAGUCAAGUUCCAAUAUUUGAAGGGGUGCAUUAUGAAUAUUGGAGUAAUCAAAUGGAAACCUUUUUCCUCUCUCAAAAUUUAUAGGAUGUUGCUGAAGAUGGAUAUGCUGAACCACCAGAAUCUGCAAGUUCUUCAGAUUGGACUCCAGCACAUCAACAGCAGUACAAAGAAAACAUACAGAGAAAUGCCACGGCACUUCGAUAUAUCCAGCAAGGUGUUAGUAAGUCAAUUUUCCCCAGAAUAUUUGGUGUCAAAAAGGCCAAAAAUGCUUAGGAAAUCCUAAAACAAGAAUUUUAAGGUUCCGAAAAGGCAGUCACCAUCAAGUUACAGACUUUGUGGAAAGAGUUCGAUAAUUUAUCAAUGAAAGACAGUGAAGGAGUUCAGGAAUUUUGCAGUAGAGUUACAGAGAUUGUGAACCAGAUUAAAGGUUGCGGGGACUCCAUUGAAGAAAAGAAGGUCAAUGUAAAGGUGCUGAACGUGAAUCAUAUAAUUUAUGGUACUUGGAUAGCGGCUGCAGCAACCACAUGACUGGAGAACGUGACAUUUUCAUCAGCCUUGACCAAAGUUGUUGGGUGCAAGCGGAAGUGCAGAGAAUUUUUUAUUUUGAGAACAGAGUAUUUUGCUGGAAAUUACUGAAACUUUAUUGCUUAAUUCAUUUUUUCGUUUCUCUCUUACUUUUCAUACAACCAGAGUUCUAUAUUUAUAUGCAUUAUAGACAACUCUAGAGAUUACAUUAAUCAUGCUUUACAUUUCCAAAGCCACAUUGCAAACAUCAAUUCUACCCUUUACUUCAAGUUGAAAAACAAACCAAAUAACCCUUCAAACUUCUUGCUCAAUUUACUAGAUUACUAAUUAUAUCUCAACAUACCUUUGCUCUUAAUAGCCUGAAUAACUGGCUUUGCCUCUUCAAAUGCCUUAUCCUAAUGGCUAGCCUAGUCACUGAAAAGUUUAACACGAGGGACCAACCACAACAUAUAGAUUCAAUACAUCAUAUCAGAACAGUGUAUAUAACGAUGUAGUUCAGAAUUAGGACAUUAAUAACAAUAGACCGAUUGGGUAGCUAGAUCCAAUCCACUCACCAAUCAAGACAGCUCAAAUAUGAAAAUAUAUAACAGCCCUACGAGUAAUGAAAUCAAAACGGCCCCAUGCAACAAAAUUAAAUGGUCAAAUAAGUUUUGUAGAGUAUCACAAGUACAGAACCAACCGUUCCAUGAUCUUUAAUCCAAUCUUAUAGUGUUCUUGCAGCAUUAGGCACAUAAGGAUCUCCGUGAAGGAAGUCAGGAACUGCCACAUAGAAUCCAGCUGAAGCAAUCUUGUCCGCAAGCUUCCUUAAAUUUAAAGCAUCUGAUGUUAGCUCCCAAAGAAGCACAAGGUAACAGUAUAAUAGCAAAUAAGUAAAUAAUCACAUAUAUCUUAUAUAUGUAGAUUCCAAAUCACAACACUGCUAGCCCAAGUCAUUGUCAAAACCAUCAGUAAAUCCUCUAUUUGCAUAUUCAAAUAUGCUUCAUUGGAUUAAUAAUUUCAGAAUCAUUACACUGACUAGACAAAUAAAUUUUCUUUCACGAUUGAGUUAAGGUCCAAACCGCAUGAAUUUUUCUCAAUCCAUUAAAGGUGUUAGCACAAAAGGAAAUUAAUAGGAAAGACAACAAAAAAGAAAAAAAAACAGAAUCAUAUAUCAAACAGAAUUUUUAAAAACGCAUCAAUAAGUUGUUCUAGCAAGCCAUACCUCAAGUUUGGAGCUUCAUAUCCUGCAGGACGAGGCAAAAGAAAAGUAAAAAAAUAAAAAUCGCAGUAAACAGAAAAAAAAGUUGAACAACAUGGGUGUAUGAUCAAUAGGAAAUCAAACACGUAAUGUGCAAUCUACAUCUACUUAAGGUAUCAAUAAAAUUUUCAUAAAAAGACAAACACAAAAAAAAAAAGGAAAAAUAAAAAACACAACCCAGGUAGAUGAUAAAUUGAAGUGAAAAAAACAAUAUAAAGAGCUGAAGAUUACCCAUUAACCAUUUCAAUACCACAAAGCAAACCCACAUGAAAAACAAUCACAAAACUCAAGCAAAAUACUCAAACUAUUGAAAAGUCAUGCAUGUGGCAAUUUUUCAAAGAGCUACCAAACAUUUGAAGAAAAAAAGGAAAGUUGGCAAAUUUGUCAAAUUUGCAAAUGGACACCAUUGACAAUUUGCUUAGGUUAGGUGGAAUAGUAAAGGGUUGGUGCAAUAGUGACAUUAUUUUCCCUAUAAAUAUAUGGCACUUCUUCCAUUCUUUUGUAUCCCAAAAUUGUUAAGCUUAUGAGUUUCUAAGCUUUUGAGAGAAGCGAGAGAAGUGUGUCUGGGGAAUUUAUCUUUCCUGCAGAGUGUGAGAGUACUAGGUAUAUUUAGAUUUCUGGGAAGUGAGAUUCGUUACUCAAAUAUUGUACUCUAUUAAUUGUUAAAUAAACAAUUAUUCUUUCUUGCCUCCGUGGAUGUAGGUUUAAUUACCGAACCACGUAAUUCUUGUGUCAUUUAUUUUUCUAUAAUUAUUUGGUGUGCUUGAUUCUGCAUUCCGCUCACAACAAGUGGUAUCAGAGCCGACGGUUCGUACUUGGGGGGAUAUGGUACUGUUCACGUAUACGGUACUAUUCCCGUAUACGGUACUGUUCACAUACGAUACUAUUCACGAAUAUGGUGGAGACGACCAUUUGUACUUGGGAGACAGUCUAUUGUAAGUAGUGUGUAUUUUUGCAUGUCUAGGAAAGUUCUGUCAACAAAGGCGAUAAGAGUCUAGGGAUUCUGGUUUUUAAUUAGGACCGAGUUCCUGUCCAGUUACCUGGGAACUUUCCUGGUGCAUUUAUUCACGCGAAAUUAACAUCAUAGAGACUGUUUUUCAAGUGGAAAUAGUUCGUUGAAAAAAUGGUAGAAGGUGAAACUUCCAGAAUUGGGGAGAGAUCUACCGAAACUAUUUCAGGAGACACUUUAGGUGGGAGGCGAGAUUUGUCAAAUCGCUAUUCAGCACAUGUUAUAGGAGGGCAGAAAAUCAAUGUUGAAAAAUUUGAUGGGAAAAUCAACUUCGGCAUGUGGAGGCGUGAAGUUAUGGAUGCCCUUAUUCAAAUCGAUCUUGAUGUUGUUCUGAAAAAUAAAAUACACUUGUAUGAUGAAGAAAUUUGGGAUCGUAUGAAUGAAAACGCUUGUGGUCAGAUCAGAUCUUGUUUGACCAAGGAGGUGAAAUACUUGGUAAAGGAUAAUGAGUGUGCGAUGGCUUUGUGGCGUACAUUAGAGGAGAAGUACUUGCUAAAAAGUCCUGAAAAUUGCCUUCAUGCAAUGAGCCAAGUAUAUGGCUUUCGAAUGAAGCCUGUGGUGUCAAUGCACGAUCAUGUCUCAAGAUAUGAAAAGUUACUUGCUGAUUUGAAGAAUCUUGAUGAAGAUAUUAAGGAUGAAGUCAAGGCUAUGAUUCUGUUACACUCACUACUAGAGGAAUAUAGCCAUUUUGUGACUACCUUGAUAUAUGGAAAAAGCGUGAUCAUCUUCAAAUGUGUGUGCACAACAUUGACUAACUUGGAGAUUCGGAAUAAUAAUAAAAAUUCUGAACGAGCAUCGUCUGAAGCUUUGGUGAGCAGAGAUUGGGCGAUGGAGAAAAAGAAAAAGCGUGGUGGAAAGAAUUCUCAAUCCAAAUCGAGAAGCAGAAAUAUAGCUCGAGACGAGUGUGCCUUUUGUCAUGAAAAGGGCCAUUGGAGGAAAGAUUGUCCAAAGGCUUAAAAGAGAGAUGAGAAGAAACCAGCAGCAGCAAACAUGGCACAGAAAGAUGAAGACUCUGAUUAUUCACUAAGUAUUACUCCUGCAGCAUACGUGGCUAGUUCGAGCGAGUGGAUUCUUGAUACUGGAGCAACCUAUCAUUUGUGUCCUAUUAAGGAAUGGUUUACGGAUUUUCGUAAUCUGAAAUCCGGUGCAGUUGUGAUGAGGAAUGAUCAACCUUGUCGCACAAUGGGGAUAAGAACAAUUCGGCUCAAAAUCUUUGAUGGAAUGGUCAGAGAACUCAAAGAGGUUAGAUUUGUUCCAGCUUUAAAGAAAAAUCUAAAUUCUGUGGGUGCUUUGGAAGCUAAAGGCUACAAGGUUACCAUUGAAGAUGGUAUAAUGAAGUUUACACAUGGGGCUAUGGUGAUUCUGCAAGGGGUUUGGCGUCACAAUCUGUACUAUUUGAAGGGAGGUACAACUGAUGAAGCAAAUAUUGUUGAGGCGCACAGUGACACCACCAAGCUAUGGCAUGUACGACUGGGACAUGCUGGAGAGAAGUCUUUGCAAACUCUGAUGAGGCAUGGACUCUUAAAAUGUACCAAAACCUGUAAAUUAAAUUUCUGUGAGCAUUGUGUAGUAGGCAAGAAAACAAGGGUCAAGUUUAGUACAGCUAAUCACGAUACUCGUGAGAUCCUUGAAUAUGUUCAUAGUAAUGUAUGGGGACCAACCAAGACUGCAUCAAUUGGUGGAAGCCAUUAUUUUGUUACAUUUGUUGAUUAUUUCUCUAGACGUGUGUGGGUGUACACCAUGCGAGCAAAUGAUGAGGUUCUAGAGAUUUUCGUGAAAUGGAAGAAAUUGGUGGAGACUCAAACUGGUAGAAAGAUCAAAGUAUUACGAUCUGAUAAUGAGGGUGAAUAUACUUCUAAUCUAUUCUUGCAAGUAUGCAAGAAUGAGGGUAUUAAAAGAUAUUUCACGGUGAGACAUACUCCGCAACAGAACGGUGUGGCUGAGCGUAUGAAUCGUACUUUACUGGAGAAGGUACGGUGUAUGUUAUCUAAUGCUGGUUUAGAUAAAAAGUUUUGGGCUGAAGCUGUGAGUUACGCAAGUCACUUGGUAAACCGGUUGCCGUCUACUGCAAUUGGAGGUAAAACUCCUAUGGAAAUGUGGUCUGGAAAGCAUGCACAAGACUAUGAUUCCCUUCGUAUAUUCGGGUGUCCAGCUUAUUAUCAUGUCAAAGAUGGUAAACUGGAUCCUCGUGCUAGAAAAACUAUCUUUGUGGGAUUCAAAGGUGGAGUAAAGGGCUUCAAGCUUUGGGAUCUCGAAGAUAAAAAGUUUGUGUAUAGCAGAGAUGUCACAUUUGAUGAAGCUUCAAUGAUGAAAGCUUCAAGUUCUCAGCAGGUGGAGAACAAGACCAAAGAGGUAUUGCAGCGGGUGGAGUUUGAUGCAACUCCAUAUGUAUCAGUUAGUUCUACAUCAAAAAAUGGUUCAACUAUGGAGGUGACACCUAGAGUUGAAGAAUAUGUUGUUUCUUCUGAUGUCCCACAAAAUGAAGAAACAAUUGAUGAUGUAGAUAAUGAUGAUUUUAUAGCAACAAGGAGGCCAAGAAGAGAGAUAAAGAAACCCAGAUGGCUUACUAAAGAUAUGGUGGUAGCCUAUGCACUUCCAGUUAUUGAUGAUGACAUCUCCAACACUUUCGGUAAAGCAUUACGCAGCAGUGAAAGUGAUCAGUGGAAGUUAGCCAUGGAGGAAGAGAUGAAAUCUCUCAAUCAAAACCAAACUUGGGAACUUGUAAAGUUACCAAAGGGGAAAAGGGAUAUUGGCAAUAAAUGGGUCUACACCAAAAAGCAAGGAUCUCCGAAUCAAAUAACUCCUCGAUACAAGGCAAGGCUCGUGGCAAAAGGUUUUGCUCAAAAGGAAGGUAUUGACUACAAUGAAGUUUUCUCUCCAGUUGUAAAACAUACUUCCAUUCGUAUCCUACUUACCUUAGUUGCAGAAUAUGAGUUAGAGUUGGCUCAAUUGGAUGUUAAGACGGCGUUCUUACAUGGAGAUUUGGAGGAUGAAAUAUAUAUGAUUCAGCCUUGUGGUUUCAGAGUUGCUGGAAAGGAGAAUCAUGUGUGUAGGUUAAUUAAAUCUUUGUAUGGACUGAAGCAAUCGCCAAGGCAGUGGUACAAAAGAUUUGAUCAAUUUAUACAAGGGCAGAAAUUCACCAGAAGUGAACACGAUCAUUGUGUUUACUUUAGAAGACUACCAGAUGGAGCUUUCAUCUAUUUGUUACUCUAUGUCGAUGAUAUGCUUAUAGCUUCGAAGAAUAGAGAUGAGAUCGAAAGAUUAAAGAAGCAGCUGGCUUCUGAGUUCGAGAUGAAAGACUUGGGUGAUACACAGAGAAUACUUGAGAUGGAGAUUCGUAGAGACAAGAAGAAUGUGAGUGUAUGGUUGACUCAAAAGUUUUAUUUGAAGAAAGUGCUAGAAAGAUUCGGUAUGGAUGACAAAACUAAACCGGUAUGUACACCUCUAGCUCCUCAUUUCAAAUUAAGCUCUUCUUCAUGUCCUAGAUCUCAAGAGGAGCGCGAUUACAUGGCUCGUGUUCCAUAUGCUAGUGCUGUGGGUAGUCUUAUGUAUGUUAUGGUAUGCACAAGGCCCGAUAUAUCUCAAGCAGUGAGCAUGGUUAGUAGAUACAUGCACAAUCCGGGUAAAAAUCAAUUGCUUGCGGUAAAGUGGAUUCUCCGAUAUUUGUAUGGGACAGUUGAUGUUGGGUUAUUGUUCAAGAAGGAUUGUGGUCAACAAUGUGUUGGGUAUUGUGAUUCUGAUUUCGCUGGAGACCUUGACAAGCGAAGAUCAACAACGGGCUACAUAUUCACAUUGGGUGGAGGUCCGGUUAGCUGGAGGUCGAUUUUGCAAUCGACAAUUGCUCUGUCCACUACGGAAGCAGAGUAUAUGGUAGCAACUGAAGCUGUAAAAGAAGCUAUCUUGUUGAAAGGCUUGUUAGGUGAUUUGGGAGUAAUCCAGGAGAACAUUGCGGUCUUCUGUGAUAGUCAAAGUGCGAUAUUCCUUGCGAAGAAUCAAACAUAUCACGCUCGGACGAAGCACAUAGAUGUGAAAUAUCAUUAUGUGAGAGAGAUUAUCGAGAGCGGUGUUGUGUUGUUGAGAAAGAUCGAUACCAAAGAUAAUCCAUCAGAUAUGUUGACGAAGGUAAUUUCUGGAGUUAAGUUUCAACAUUGCUUAAAACUAAUUCAAAACCUUCGAUUGUGUUAAGAUAUGUCCUUCGGGAAUUUUGAACUACGGUUGACUUGAUCCCAAAUUUUGGGUACGUAGGCAGUCACAGAGCUGCAGCCCCUUUGAGGAUAAUGGUUCAAUGGUAGUCGGCUCAGAUUUGGACAAAUUUUCGCCGAGGUGGAGAAUUGUUGAAAAGUCAUGCAUGUGGCAAUUUUUCAAAGAGCUACCAAACAUUUGAAGAAAAAAUGGAAAGUUGGCAAAUUUGUCAAAUUUGCCAAAUGGACACCAUUGACAAUUUGCUUAGGUUAGGUGGAAUAGUAAAUGAUUGGUGCAAUAGUGACAUUAUUUUCCCUAUAAAUAUAUGGCACUUCUUCCAUUCUUUUGUAUCCCAAAAUUGUUAAGCUUAUGAGUUUCUAAGCUUUUGAGAGAAGCGAGAGAAGUGUGUCUGGGGAAUUUAUCUUUCCUGCAGAGUGUGAGAGUACUGGGUAUAUUUGGGUUUCUGGGAAGUGAGAUUCGUUACUCAAAUAUUGUACUCUAUUAAUUGUUAAAUAAACAAUUAUUCUUUCUUGCCUCCAUGGAUGUAGGUUUAAUUACCGAAUCACGUAAUUCUUGUGUCAUUUAUUUUUCUAUAAUUAUUUGGUGCGCUUGAUUCUGCAUUCCGCGCACAACACAAACAAGAGCAACCCAAACGAUAAUAUAUUGCUCGAACAGAAACAACCCAGAUUAUACUUUGAUGUAAAAAAAGAAAAAAACGAGGAGAUGUAAUGAGAUGGGUUAAGUACCGUAAAUGUCGGAGACAGGAAGAACAGCAAGUUUUGAGUGAGGAGAGCCAUUGACAUAGGUGUUAAGUCCACCAAGGUUCUCAACGUGGCCUACUCCAGUGGUUGGGUUCAAUGUUGGUGGAUUCGCACAACACUGAGGACCUGACAUCUCAUUUGUUCUGUUUAACCUUAAACUCCUGUCUGCAAAAUACCAUAUAUAUAUAUAUAUAUAUGUAUAUAUAUGUCUACUUGGGAUUCGCUAGAGGGACCUAGAAAUGUAUCGACUUCUAGUGAGUUAUCUCCAGAACAAUUACUAGAGGUAUUACGAAUAAUCUGGUGCAAUGAGUCAUCUGGUGCAAUAAAGUUCAGAAAAGUACUUCGCAUCUCAUAAAAAGUAAGAAAAGUACUUCGCAUCAUCUUAGUCCAUGUGGGGGCUUCAUUUCAUUUUUCACGUUUCACAUCAAAUGAAAAAAUGCAUAAUAAAUGUAGGUGACAAAUAGGAGGACUUGUGGAUGAGAAUCAUUAUAAGGCUCAUGGGCAUAUAUUACCCAGAAUAUUUGGACGGUAACAGUUCUGUUUGGUCCAUGCCAAGAAAACAGUCAAUUUAUGUAUUUAUUUACUUUUUUAAACGAUUCACAUGGAGUGAUGAUGGACACACGAGAACCUCUAAACUCCUAAGUUGCAAUAGAAAGUUAAAAAAGAAAAAAGGCACAAGGCUAUUCUUAAUCGCAAUUUAAUUGCUCGCCCACAAAGCACCAUCUAUAAGAGUUAUAACCCUAAUCAGGAUUCAGUUAUUUUGUCAGCCUUUUGUUUUAGUUCCAGAGAGAGUUCAUUAAUUUUCAAUUGUUUGUUCAAUCGAUGGGAAAACGAAGUAAUAAGAUGCCAGACCUUCCGGUGGAAAUUAUAGUGGAAAUCAUAAACUGAUCUGAAAUUAUUUGCGUAUCUGAUUACAGACACUAUAUAAAGAGGAUAAAUAUACAACUUACAAUAGAAGUUACAAGAACACAAGUUUAAAAGAAAAUAAACAGUGCAUUUUUAUCACAAAUGAUAUAACUAUAUAAUCUUAUCACAACAAUUAAACUUACAAUCUGCUUGUUGCGGAAACGUGGGUUGAGCAAUUACUAAUACUGCAACUUCUGGAGAAAUAUAAAUGUGGUGAUAAACAAAUGCAAAGAAAGUAGAACACAAUAAUUUACGUGGUUCGGCGUAAUGCCUACGUCCAUGGGCAAAAAACUGGAAGAUAAUUUUACUAACAAUGGAAUUUACAAAAGUGGGAAAAACUCACAAAACCCACAACCCCAAUACACCCAAAUGGAACCUCACUAGAACACUCAAGUGGAAGCUCUCUCAAAUUCUCUCAAAGAACUCACUUGCAAUUGCUCUCUACUUCUCUCAAAUUGGGAUGAUUUACAAAUGAGGAAUUGCCUUCUAUUUAUAAGGAAAAAUGGGGUGCACUAUUGUACCAACCCCAACAAAAUUGUCAACAUAAAUUAGGCACCUACCUUAUGAAUUUGUCUUCAAAUUUGCUUCUCCAAAGUUGAAUGCAUGCAUGGCAACAACUUGUCAAAUAUUUGUGCCACCAACCUCCAAUUUGUCAAGAAAAACCGUGUGAAAAUAAGCUUUGUGGGCUGACUUUUCAACACUGCUAACUCAAGCUAACUUAAAUUGCUUACUAGGCCCUGAACUUGUAUAGCUUUCUAGCAUCCCCUGAAGCCUAAACGUCUGCUUUGCAUAUUUAGCUUGGAGGUUAGAAAGUGUAAAUGACUAAAGGUUAACAGCUUACUAAAUAUAUCUACAGUACAGUUUGAUCCUCAGCGCAUAUAUAACGAAUCUCAAUAACUUUAUUCAAAAUUUUCUCGUACAAAGUAUAGGCCAAUUUCAAAGUGCUUUGUCCUGCCAUGAUUAACUAGAAUAGAAGCCAAAGUUGCUGCACCUGCAUUAUCACACCAAACAACUGGCAUAUGAAUUGGUUUCAUAUGCAAUUCUGAAGCAAAGAUGUCAACCAAAUUAACGCUGUUGUCACACUUGCUAAGGCUUGAUAUUCAGAUUCACAACUUGACAUAGCAACAACAAAUUACUUUUUAGAAGACCAUGAUACUAGGUUGUUGCCUAAGUACACAAAAUAACCAUCACCAGAAAGUUGAUCAUCAAGGUCACACGCCCAAUCAGCAUUCGUAUAGGCUAUAACUUCUAUUUGACUAUAGAAAAAAGUAAGCUUAUUAAGUAUACCUUUGAGAUAUCUGAAAAUCUGUUUGCAAGCCUACCAAUAAAACUUAUAAGGACACGAAAGAGAUUUACUAAGCUUAUUAACAACAUAUGCUAUCUCUGGUAUAGUCAAAAUUAUUAACACUUAAAAGCAAAAUUGAUUAAAGUAGCACUACAUAUAUUUUCAAGAAAUAUAUUAAAACAAGUUAAACAUAAUGAACUUUUAAAAAAUAGAAUAAAAUAUUGUUUCUUUUUUCAAAGAACCUUCAGCAAAACCCUGACCACAUACGGUGCCAAUUUUUCAUUCAUCAUAUCAUAUAUGUUUUAUUCAAUUUUAAUUACAUGAACAUCAGGCACACUAAAUGUUGACGUAGUUAUACAAUCAUUCAUCAGAUACAAUAACUAUCAACUAGAGUUCCAAGGUUCACACACAUGGAGCAGUACAAUAAUCCAUUCCAUGCGGUUCCUCACUUGACAUACUUGGCAAACCAUUCCAACAUAUUUUGAUGAGCUUCCUCUGCAAACUUCGCAGCAGAUUUGUCUUCUGCAUUGUAUCUCACCGUCCAUCCGUGAGAAACUUUUGGAAAUAUUUUCACAUACCCAUCAACCUGCUAACAAGUAUCACAAGUAAAAGAGUCAUCGAAAGUGCUUUUAACUAUAGGUCCAGAUAACUUGAGGCAGAAAUGAAACUUCAAUGUUAACCUGUUAAAUGUCGUUACGAAUACACAGAUCAGAACAGGUCCAGAUAAAUGAACUUUACGGAUAUAUUGCUUUAAUUAAAAAGCACUGAAUUUAUAUAUAUUUAUAUAUAUAUAUACAUAUGCAUACCUCAGAUUUCGCAGCUAAGACCUCUUCAAAUUGCUUCAAGAGAGCUGGGGGAGAAAUCUGAUCAAACUCAGCUCCCAGUACUGCAGUGGGAACCUCAACCGCUGAAAGUAAUACCAACCAAUAUGGUUUGUUACACCAAAUGCAACAAUAAAGACCAAUUGAAUAGUCCAACAAAAGAUAAAGAAACAAACUAAAAGACUUUCCCAUCUGCGUGCAAUGACCAGAACUAUUAUAAUUAAGGACUUACAUGUAAAUUAUUGGGUACACAUUCAUCUAUAAGCUAUUCCUUGCCUAAAAACACACGAUGACAGGCUGAAAAUCUAUGAAUCCAUACCCUUGAUAUCAUCUACAGUUACGAAAGAGGGAUGUAACAGCACAGCAGCCUGGAUGAACUCGUGCUUCGCUAGUUCAACUGCUACUUUAGUUGAGAGCUGAGAAUAAAAGUUAGUUGAUAGCGGUCAGUUCAAGACAUCACUGCUAUCUAUUAAGUAUAUGACAUCCCUACCCUUAAUUUUUCAUUCAUUUUAUAAUAAUACCUUACUUUUCUUUCCUUUUAACUAACAAAAGAAAAUUUUUGAAUACUAUCAUGGACCGUUUACAGAAAAACGUGGGUCUCUGUAACAAUAGACUGUAGUUUAAUAGUAAAAGUAUGUACUAAAAAAAUUGUACAUAACUACAUGCAUAAUAAACUACAAGUAUGCACUGAUAAAGAUCACUAAGAUCCUAAAUAUCUUUCUCAGUCAACCCCAUUAUAAAUCAAAACCAAGGUAAUUACAUGAUUCAUGCAUAUAAAUGUGGCAACUAUUAUUGCCAUUGUGACAUGUACAGAUGUCAAGUAACAUAAAUAUAGAAGAAAUCCUCAAUGAUUAUGUUCCUUUUAUGUAAUCUAUAUGUAUUCUCGUAUAAAUUGGGCAUUUGAGCUUUGAAUAAGAAUGAAAUUUCUAUUUUGUAUAUUGUCUAUAAAAAGUUUUCAUGCACAAAGUAAGGCCGUUGAUCGCUUCGUCAACUCAAGUGUACUUAUUUCGACUAUAGUAAUUAUUUGGUUGCGAUGGGAACUUGGGUUGUUGGUCCAUGCUGAUAUUUUUUUGUAUCCCACCGAGGAGUUUCCAAGUAUUGCAACGGCAAUGUGGCACGCACGCCAAUCACACAAACAAGCGCGCCUAUAGUCUUUUUCUAGUGCGGGGCCUCACUUUUUUCAUGCAGUUACGCUUUUAAACACAAAGUUUAAUAGAGUCAAAGUGUAACGUUAUUAAAUCACACAACUUUAUAGCACAUUCAAAAAUAACUUUAUUAAAUUGCAAAACUUAACAGCAUGUCUCCAUGUGGGGAUGGUAGAAUAACCCCGACCCAGAUGAACUCGGAAAAUCCAGGUCAGGGUCAACUUGUAUCGUAGCAAAAUAUAUCCAGUAUUUGGAAGUCAUUUUUGAACCCAGUCGAAUCCGAGUCUGGGUUCGGUUUUAGGUAAAUUCGGAUAUCAACAACCCAUAUCCGAAUUAUUUUAUUCUAAUAUUUAAUUAAUUAUUUUUAAAAAUUAUUUUAAUUAAUUGUUUUUAAUUAUUAUUUAUGAGCAUAAAAGCAAAAAUGAGAAAAAUAAAACAAACCCUACAUCUCAGAGCCACCGUUUCUAGUCCUAUUCAUUCCCCAAAAUUCAACAAACAAAUUCAACAUCAUCAUCGUCGCUUGAUUGAUCAUCACCCAUCAAUCAUUAGAACCACAACAUCAUGGCCGUGGCCACACUUCUCUGCAAGUUUCAAGAAUGGACUUGAGACCAAGGUGGAGAAGUCAAGGAAGCAAUUGAAGGAAAAGAAGAACAUGGCUAAGGGUGUGUUUGGGAUUGAGGUGCUGUAGCUUUUAACCUACAGCUGCUGUGAAAAAAAAAGCUGUAAUUAUGAAACAAAAGUUAAUAAUAUAUAGUAAAUAUAAAUUUUAAAUAAUAAUUUUGAUAAAAAUAUUAAAGAUAUAAUAAAUUUUAUAUUAUACAAGUGAAAAAUCAUAUCAACAUAGCUUAAAAGCUAUAGCAGCUAGUGUUUACCAAACACUUUAGUGCUGUAGCUUUUAAGCUACAGCUGCCCAACCUCAAUCCCAAACGCACUCUAAGAAGAUCGGCAGCGUAAAGAAGACCAAGGCCUUAGAAGCUACCAAGAAGAAGUGAGCAAUUCAUUCUUUUGUGGUCCCGAAGCCAACUUUCGGUGAUGGAGUUCUAUGAUAGUCUUUGUUGGUAUAGUUUCUAAAAUGAAAUAUAUUGUGUUGUGGAUUUUGGUGUUAUUUGGUGUUUAUGUAGUUAUAUUUCCAUAUUUUGAGUACUAAAAAAGAAAAAAAAUGGUUUAUACUAAGAUUUUAGUUGUCGAAAUCAAUGGAUUUUAUUUCCAGUUUAUGCGAUUCCCCAUCUUCCUCAUCUAUUUCAAGAGAUCCAUGACUUUGUUCUAUCUCCUUCUGCAACUGCCAAACAGCCCCAAAAGCGGCAUGCUUGAUUUAUUUUAUUUUAUUUCAGGCAUUCAGUACAUCUAUCCUCGUUUGGAACCUGAAUCCAGAAAGCUAGAUUUUUCUAGGUUGACCCCGUACCGAAUCCGGAGCCUAAAAAUCGGGGUUUAUAUUCAAAUUUGGUAUGCUAAAUUAUCAUUCGGGUCCGGACCCGAAAAGCCUAAAUUCGGAUCCGGAGGAUUUUGCCAUCCCUAUCUGCAUGGAAAAAAAAAAAAAAAAAAAAAGGAGAGCGUAUGCACUUGAGAAUGAUUAUAUACACACAUAUAUAUGUGUAUACAUACAUACAUAUAGUAUUUUCCUAAUGUGAGCGCCCUUUUCUUUUUUUUGUCUAACACAUUAUUAAACCAUGCAAUUUAAUAUAGUUAUUUUAAUUAACUAUUGAAUUACAUGGUUUAAUAGCAUAUCCACGAAAUAGAUGCCUGUCUAUUAUAUCAUUAAUAAUCAAAGAAAUUUUUUUUAUAUGGAAUCAUAUGAAGUGAUUAUUAAGGUUGACAGUGAGAUUCAUUCUUCUAAAUUAUUGCUUGACGCGUCACAUUAAGGGAUAUGACUAUGUAGAUGAGUCUGAAAGCUUUGAUGAGACCGAAAAGUUUUAGCUUUGAAAUUUGUAGAGGAUGUUAGUGCUAACACAUAUAAGAGAUCGAAUGCUUUCGCACUCCCACUAUACCUUAGUGUAUGCCGCCUCUUUAGCAACAGAAGUUGAAUGUCAACUUUGGGAAGAACUUGAAAAGCAUUUGGAUAAGCUUGCGAAGAAAUUCAUUGACAAUGCAACUAGAGAAUUGCAAGAGAACAUGGCCAGAAAUGUCUCUAAGAAGGUAAUUGGACAUGUCCAUGACAACAUGAGAUUUCAAAUGUCGAUGAGGAAGUAAUUAGAGACGUCUGAAAUUGCAAAGGAAGGGGUAAAAUCUAAUCUUGAUUUGAGCAUUGAUUUUAACAGUAUAGUUGUUACGGUUCUAUCAAUCUCUAUAUUGACGCAAGAGAACUGUUCUAGAAGAAGACCUGACGGUAAAUAUUAAGUGAGGUGACAAGUGACAACAUUGAGCAAGAUUUAGAGAAAGACUCAAGAGGCUUGCAAGUGAUUCUUGAGUCCAAUACGACCUUAUUGCAUUUUGUCAGUUUGUUAAACGACUCAAGAUUCUCUCCUUGCCCAUCGCUUUAGAUAAUUCAGACGUUGAUUAUUGGCGAUGAUGUCCUUAAUAAAAUGCUUUUCAUCAAAUUUCAUCUUUUGAUCAAGAACAUACAAACAGCUACAGUUAGACUUUGUUUAUUUAUUUAAUUUGGUCUCUAACUAGUUAUUCAUUCUCCUUUCUAUUUUUAUUUGAAUAAUUGAUUUAAUAUUGCAGCAUAUUUUUGGUUUAGAGCAUAGAAAUAAAAAGGCAUCUCGAUGCAAAAUGAUAUAAAUUAAUUAAUUACCAUAUAGGUUUGUUAUUAGUUGUAGGGGUAGAGCUCAAAUUAAAUCUCGAGGGAGCUAAAUUCAAACAAGUAUUCACAGGGGGUCGAUUUUAGAUGGUUUUUUCAUCUAUAGCUAUGGUGUAAUCCUGAAAAUUUAGAAAUUUUGCUCGUAACUGUAGUAAUUUUAAUUUGGAGAUUUUUAUUAAUAAUUGAGGCUAUUGUUACAAAUAAAGAAUAAAAUAAAAAAGUAAUUAACAAAAUAAAGAUCAAAGAGAUAGAUCUUAACUUCAUCAAAAUUUUUAAAGGCUCUUUGUUAUUUUAAUAGGAUGAAAAAGGAAAUACCAAAAUAAAGAUCAAACCCUUUCAAAAAUAAAUAAAUAAAUAAGUAAAUAGAUAAAUAUCAAACAAUUAGGCAACUUUGACUUUAUUUCACAAAAUAUAAAGUUACAUUUUCAUCCUAUAUAUAAAGUUUACAAAUUAAUUGUGUAGGGGCCAAAUCAGUAUUUUUUUAUAUUUCCUUAGAAAUUUCAAAUUUUUUUUAAAGCUUGCAAGUGCCUUGGCCACUGCUAGUCUUAAGCACCUUCCACUCCUAAUCAGAUGGAAAUUAUAAAUUAAUUUUCUUCAAACACUUAUAUUAUUUUGCAAUGCCAAUUAAUUAAGGUAAACCUAAGUUUGAUUAAAAUAAAGAUAUAUAUUUCAAAAUAAAGAUCAAACCCUUUCAAAAAUAAAUAAUUAAUAGAUAAAUAUCAAACAAUUAGGCAACUUCAACUUUAUUUCACAAAAUAUAAGUUACAUUUUAAUCUUAUAUAUAAAGUUUACAAAUUAAUUGUUUAGGGGCCAAAUCAGUAUUUUUUGAUAUUUUCUUUAGAAAUUUCAAAAAAAAUUUAAAACUUGUAGGUGCCUUGGCCACUGCUAGUCUUAAGCACCCUCUGCUCCUAAUCAGAUGGAAAUUAUAAAUUAAUUUUCUUCAGACACUUUAUUAUUUUGCAAUGCCAAUUAAUUAAGGUAAACCUAAGUUUGAUUAAUUCAUGAGAGCUAGCUAGCUUAUAGUUAAAAUAUAUAUAUAUAUACUAACUAUUAAUUAAAUAUUGUAGCAAUUGUCUUUUACAAAUAUGCAAAUCAGUUUAAUCUUAAAUUUUAUUGAAAUGUGAAAGUGAAUUCACGCAGCCCUUCAUACCGAAAACGGAGUACCAAAAAUAAAAAUAGAGACAAAAGUUAAACUAAAACACGGCCGCACACUAAAGUCAAAUUAACUUGAAAACAUACGUAAAGAAAUCUAAACAUCGCACACAGCUUAUAUAUUCUUCAUCUUCAAGAUAGCUAGGAUGGACGACUGCAGUCUUCUUCUGUGAAAAUAUUUGAAGUGCGCAAGCCUCACAUAAUUGAACAACCGGCAACAAUUCCUGCAAUGGGAAGUGCAGCUUCGAAAACUUUUAAUGCCGUUUGCCAUAGACCCUAGAAAUCAAUAAAUAAUUUUAACAUGAAGAAAUUCACUAUCAGACUUUAGAUAGAUCAACAAGAAAUUCACUGCCAGAAUAUAUAAAAAUCAACACGGCUCCUCAGCACUAUAUCCAAAUUUAUAAAAAUGUUAUGCACCAAAUUAAAUAAUCGAGUGAUUAUUUAAAAUUAAUUAAUCAAAGUUUGGUCAAACUCACCCUUCCCUCCGCUGGGAUAUUUUGAUUGUAAGGAACAAUUGCACGCUUUGAAGAACAACCGUGCCGACGCCGGGAAGUUCCGUGCCUUCUGGAAUUUCUGGAGCUUCUGGAACAACUUCUGGAAUUUCUGGAGCUUCUGGAACAACUUCUGGAACUUCUGGAGCUUCUGGAACAACUUCUGGAGCUUCUGGAACUUCUGGAACAACUUCUGGAGCUUCUGGAACUUCUGGAACUUGGCUGCAAUCCAUUGCAGAGUCAAUACAAGUUUUAUAUAUAGGCAAUUAAUUUCAAAAAUCUUUAAUUAGUAUAUAGGUAAAUGCUCUUUCAGAGCAUUAUAUUUUAAAUUAAGUGUCAACCCCGUCGUCUUGGGCCUAGAGGGUCUCUUUUCGCCUUUGGCUUCAACUACUUUUGUUUCCAACAGAUAGCAUCCAUUAUACAAAAUAAAAAGAAAAAAAAUUUCAUUCAAUCCUAUAUUUUAAAAAAUACCAAAAGACACUCUUAUUAUUAAAUAUAUAACAUUUUUUUUUCAUUUUUUUUUACUUUUCUAAUAAUACUCUUACAACAAUCUAAAAACAUUAAUUAAUUUAUCUAUAAAAAAAUUAAUUAGCAAAUUACCAAUAAUUAUCUGUUUAAAGAAAUUGAUAUUUUUCAGACACUUGCAAUAAUCUUUCUAAUAAAUAUUUAUAAAUAAAUAAAUUAACAACUUAAAGCUACAUUUAAUAUCUUGUUAAUAAUUAUAAAAAAAAUUAUGUUACCUAAUUGAUCUUAAAAGUAAAAUAAUAAUAAAAAAAUUAUUUUAUUUUUAAUGUUAAUUUAAUAAAUUAAUUAUUUUUUUCUUUUUAUUAGCAUCACCAAGAAUAUUGUUGUGUGGAUGUUAUCAUAAAAACAACGAAAAAAAAUUAGGGUAUAAUAGUAAGAGUAUUUUAAGAUAUUUUUUAAAAUAUAUAUAGGGAAUAAAUAAAUAUUUAUUUCAAAAUAUAGAGACAAAACGAAUAUUUAUUCAUAAAAAUAUAAUAAUAAUAAUAAUAAAUACCUGAUGAUUGGGUAAAGGUUUCUUCCUCAAAGAUUCAAGCAGCGAAAAAUUAUCCAC